rnacentral:lncRNA from 1 species
UUGCAUAUACUUGGUAGGAUUUGUUGUAACUUCCAGGUGAACUUGCCAAUACAUUCAAUGUAUUGACCACGUAGUGGCUGCAAUCAAUAAUGCAGGUGAAUCUGAUGAAGAGUGAGGUUCGCCGAUGUUUUUUGGGUCAUGUGCUUACAUUCCAACAUGCUCUCUCCUCUGGGAGUAGUUGAGUCCCAUUUGCUCUCCCUUUCCGCUGCAAGUUUUUAAACAUUUAUUUUGAUGAGAUGAAAUAGUAUUUGUUUAUGCUGGCCCAAGGGGUUAUGCAAGUUUGUAAGUACAAUUGAGUUCUGGAUGAUACGAUGUAAUAAAGUACUUUUGACCUUUGUAUCUGGGUAUUACAUCUUGAAACUAUGUGUGCUAGUGGGUCGAUCCAGGGACUAGCACAAAUAAGCAAAGAGAUCGAACCCUGUACGGGGGCGGUCGCUUUAGAUGCGGCUACAACAGUCGCCCCGACUACCCCGGCGGCUCCGCCAGUCCCACCCGCGCGGAGUGGCCCCCUGGCGAGGAGCAUCCUAGCGGACAGGGUGCUCAAGCUCAAACCAGCGGGGUCAGCUCAACGUUGUCUAGAACACUUUAGAUUUCAUAAAUUUUUUGCAUGCCUGGCUAACUUGUUUUCGCGUUUUCUAGUUCUUCGAGGAAGAGGGGGCAGACCAGCACGUCGCCGGCAACCCCGACCGAGAUGCCGCUGACGUGGCUGUUGUGACGGCGGCAGCUGCCACUGGGGACUCGAGGGUCACCGAUUCGAGCUCGCAGGGCACCGGCCCGGCGGCAGGUACGUGCGAGUUCCAACAUCUCUUUUACCCAUUCGCGCCAUCUCCCAUACUUGACUCAGGUGCUCUUCGUGCAGUUGCCGGGGAUGUUCCGGCAGCGCCCGCGCCCACCGAGGUGCGGGUAAUCGACCUCACCGGCGAGGUCGACGACGAUGCUCCGGUGGAGAUUGCCUCCGUCAGAGCCCUUUAGCAAUCGGCCACGGCGCCUGCUGCCGCAGGCGACGCCACAUAGGGGGCGCCAUCUGUGGUAGGUGACACGGAGCAGCCUCCGCCAGUCGGAGCAGGCGGUGGUGCUCUGGAGAAGCCCCCGAGCCCCCAGCCCGCCCCUUUGGACGGGCAAGGAGUAGCAGGGGUUGGCCAGGCUAGGGCGCGUCAUCCCAACGCGCCCUCAGGAUCACAGAUGGUUGCGGCGGGGUCCUCCUCCUCCGCCAGAGCCGCCUUCAGCCCGGGAGCGGGGGAGCUCGCCGGGCGGACAUGGGGUCGGAUUACCUUCGACCCUAGCGUGUUCUAGCAGGGACACCAAGUGAUCGAUAACAUCCAGCGGCAGCAGCGGAUGUUCGUUGAUUUCUUCAAUGACGCGCAGCAGCACCACGCCUGCGUGGUAGCGGAACUGGGCGCAGCGCAACGGGAGGCGGAGGAGCAGCACGCCGAGCUGCAGCGGCUCCGGGAGGAGCUCCAGCAGGCGUGGCAAGUCGGGGCGAUGCUUGUUGUGCAGGGGGUGCCGGAGGCGGAAGUCCUCCGGCAGCUGUGGGAUCUCCAUCAAGAGCACCAGUAGGAGCUCGAGCUGGUGAAGGCCACGCAUGUCUAGAGCGAGGAGGAGCACCAGGAGGCUCUGGACUCGUUCCAGGGGUGUCUCCGGGAGAAGACAGACUUACUGUCCAACUACUCCCUGGAGAUCCAGCGCCUCCGUCAUGAGGUCAGAGAGCUGGAGACGGUGGCUACAACACUAGCCGAAGCCAGGCUCGCUCCCGGGAGAGCGAGCUUGUGGGGAAGCUCAAGGCCGCCCAAGAUGCCAGCUCGUCCCUUCAGGGCGAGCUCGACAUGGCGCGGCAGGAACUCCGGCUGGUCGACAACGAUAACACCAAGAGGGCGUCCGAGAUCGGCAAGCUGAAGUCCGAGUGCCGCGAACACAAGCUGCAGGCCCAGGAGGCUCGUGGUGCGUGCACCGAGCGGCGGGCCCGCAGGACAGGGGAGGUGGCCAGGCUGAAGAACCUGGCGGACUCGGCGGUGGAGGCGCUGCAGGGGUUCGACAUCCCGGUGGCUUCCUUCGACGGGGCGAACAUGGGCAGCUUCACCUCCUUCCUUGCGGACUUCGUCGGCCGGCUGAGCGGCCUACAGAACUGUGUUACAGCCUUCGGGGAUCGGCAAGUCGGCCUUGCAGCCGAGCAGGUCACUGGGCAAAUUCUCACCCGAGUCCACUCCGCCCACCCCGACUUCCUCUUCGAGUAAGUCUUCGAUGCCUGGUCAGACGAGGAAGAGGCCAAGACCCACCAGGAAGCAGUGCAGGGCAUUGUGGAUGAGAUGGUGGCGCGGAUGCAGGGCAAGGUUGAUGAAGCCGAAGCAGCUGACGAGGAGGUUGUCGGAGAAGCCCCCGAUGUCGAGGAUGCACCCGACACCGACGCAGCCGCCCCGGGAGCACCUCCUGCAUGAUUGCCUGUUUUUUUUUAAUAUUUUCCUACAAGUGGCGCAUGGCGCCUUCGAACUUUUUAUGUUAGCUUUCCCUUAUCAUCACAAGUGUUAUUUGUUAACUCGUUUGCUCAAGCUUCAAUAUAUCCAAUGCUACUUUUACUUGCUUCUUUGUCUAAGACUAGCUUGCCGGGGAGGGGCUAUGUCCUUCUCGUGCCUUAGCCUUGAGUAUCCGGGGACUCGCCAACUACAUGCUUGGCCAAACUAGGGACCCGGGACGGACCCGCGGUGCCAACCUAGGACCAAACAGCAGCGGCUAGUCACUCCGCCUGCGAGUUACCUACCCCAGCGCGCACGCCUCCGGGGCGGACCCGCGAGCCACGUGUGCGGGGGCGUCCUCACCCCACAAGCGUCCUUCCUACGCUCCAGCAACACGGGGACCGAGUUUACCUCACCAAACCAGCGUUACUAAAGGAAGAGCUAAGAACCCAAAACAAAGUACUUAGCUUUUCGCUCUCUUUGGUCUUCUAGCAUCUUGUUGAGAGCCGUGGCAAGGACGCCGUGGCAGUGCACCCUCCAGCGGCAUGCGCGGAGGCAUGCACCCCCACAGCGUCUUCGCGAUGCCUCUCGCCCACUGCACAACCAUUUCUGGUGUCGUUCCAUAAGAGAUGUGGCAGGGCCGCGAUGGUGGAAACACCCUCAGCGACAAGCGCAGAGCGAUCCACCACCAUCGCCUCUCUACGAAAUCUCUUGCUUUCUUGCCCGUUGCCGGUGUUGCAUUUGCCCCGGUAUCUUUAAAUAGCCGAAGCGCUGCCCUUGCCUCCACACGCGCGGGACCACCAGUCGCCACGUGGAGGCACUGGCCCUUUCUCAGUUUCCUGCCUCAAGCCUCGAAGUAAUUGCCAUAUAUGUACAACUUACUCGCAAGACGACGACACCCGUGACCACCCCACGAGUAUCACAGUGUGCCUUCGCCUCAUCUUUACCAUGCAUGUCAGAUUCCUGUAGUGCCCAGGAUGCAUAGCAAAAAAAUUCGAAAUGCACGAAAAACAGCUCAAACUGGAUAACCUCCUGUCUCCCAGCCACCGAGCACAGAAGAGUCGACCUCAGACUUGGGUGUGAGCAUCUACAUAUUCCCAUGGUGCCUUGCUGGCACGUAGCACAUUGCGGACGGGUCCGGCAACUGCUAGGCCUCAUUCCGGGGCGUCCCGGCAAUGAGCUUGGUUUUCGUGGUUCCGGCAGCCCCCUGCUCACAGCCAAAGACGAGGAGACAAUUAUGUGCACCUAGAGCAGGAGACAAAAGCACUCAUCAAUAGCAAAGGACAACACUUAUUGAAGCAACACUUAUCUUUAUUCAACUUUGUGCUAGCGGAUUACAAUCAGGCCUUGCACGGCUACGCUAGCUUAAAGAGGCACGCUGCUGCAGCGUCACCCAUGGGUAAGGCACCACCGUUUCACGGGUAGAACUUGCGCAGGUGUUCAAUGUUCCAACUAUUGGGCAUCGGCAAGCCUUCUUCGGUCCGGACAGCCCCUCGUAUGGUCACCUGCACUACCCGGAAAGGGCCUUCCCAGAUUGGAGUCAACUUGUUCCCGACCUUCGUUCCUUGUAUCCGGUGCGGGAUGAGGUCUCUGUUGGCCCGAGUCCUGUCUCUCAUGGAGACUCCUCAGUUGAAGGUUACUGGCAUUCACCUCAUCGCCGCCUUUAUCCGGAGAAGAAUUCAGCCUCUGCAGGCUCGUGCUCAUCCCAUGUGGGCAUAUCAGGGGUCCGUGACCCGACCCGAAUUAGUACCUAGGAAUUUUGUUCAACUGAACUGUGUCGACGAGUUUGGCAGCUUACUGACUUGGGCGAGUCGGAGCCCUGCGAGAUUAACCCUCCAGUGGCUCCCUAUGGGCCUGACAGGCCCCGAGAAUAGGUGAUCACCGAAGCAUCUGACAAGUCCUGCCGUUUUUUGGCAUGAAUUACUUCUGAUCAUGGCUUUGAUUUCAGGGACCCGAUAAUGAUCUAAGCGGUGCUUCUCCACCGGCCAAGAAGCGCGGCAGAGAGGAAAAUGACCUGCCGGUACAGACCCAGAUGAAAGGCUUGAGGGACCCGAACAUCGAGCCGUCGGUGUCUGUACCUGCGCUCAAGAGGACAAAGUCCGACGGGCCAAUCCCGGCUUGUCGCUUUGGCCUUUUUGCACGAUUAAAUCGUGCCAGGUGAAUCUUUUAGCCAUCUUACUUCUAUAUCCUAUAGAUUUUGACUAAACCUCUAAAAACUUUGUUGAUGAGCCAUACUGGUGGCUCAGUCAAGAGCAAAAAGGCUCCCGAGACUCAAUCGACUGGUCAGGACUCGAAAGGGUCGGACCAUCUGACUAAAGAAAAGACAACUCAUACCGAAGAAGCUUCGGCGGCCAAUCCGAGCAGAGGAAGUCGAGCAGAUGAGCCGAGCGUUCCUCAGGCGACGAUUCCUGCGUCGAGUCGACACGUGAGCAGUUUGAGGAGACGAAGGCAGAUCGGGAGCGACUACGAGCAGAGCUGAGUCAAUGUCGCCAAGAGCUACAGGACGCAGCCGCCAAAAAGAGUCGUCUUCAGCAACGUAUAGACUCCCGAACUUCCGCAAAGAAAGAGCAGGAGAAGGUUUGGAUCGAGCGACUCAAAAGUGCUACUCGCUCUGUUGCUGGUGAGCGUUUGAAUCUGUUACUCGAGUGCCGUUUCUCUAUCCUUUUGCAGGAGUCCUUGAUGCUUCCGCUGAGGUUCAAUUCAAAGAGAGAAGCCGGAGCUUCAAUGAUGCUUUAGAAAAUGUUGAAGUCAACAAUGCUGAAGCCAAGGGCAAGCUCCGGCAAGUGACGAAGAUUUUGACCACCAUAAUCAGGAAGAUGACUCCUGAUGGGUCAGUGCCGGAGUCGCUGAAUGGCCUUAUUGACUUUUUUGCGGCAAGUCAAGAUCCGGUAGAAGAGUACUGCCAGCAUCGGUCGAAGACCGACGCUGAGUUAUUCUUUACGCUUGCUCUUGAGCAUGGCGUUGAGGAAGACGCUCACCGUCGAGUAGCCUCUCAAUCGAUUCGAUCGAGAGUAGGCGACUCGGUCAACAUAGGGCCCCUAAUGGGAAAGGGCAAAGAGCUGGCUGAGAUCUCGUUGUGGCAGCCACAUAGAUCAAUCGAGGAGAUGAACCUAGCUUCAUCCAGCGGCCCAGAGGUGGGUGAUCUUUCACUAGAUAUAUUUGAUUCUCUUUCUCCUUUGUGAAUCUUCUUCUUCUACUAUUUUACCUUUGUAAAGAACCUCUAGCAGAGCCCUUUUUGGAAAGAAAUGAAAAAAUCUUUAUUUCCAUCCCGAAAGGGGUUCUUCAGGAUAAAUGCUGAGGUAACUUGAGUCUUUUCCGGGUAGAGGGAAAAAGGAUCGUCAAGUCACUCUAUUCCAGCUGCAGCGGCAGCCUCUCGCAACAAUGCUCCAGACAAUCCUAGCGGAAGGGUCAGGCUGGGACUACUCUGUACCCAUAGCAAUUACGAGAAGUUGAGGCUUGGAGUAGCAAAUCUAGCCUGAAAGCUGCGACCAACCGGGAAGAGUUUGUCUUUCGAGAGCUUCGCAGCCUGAGCGGCCAAAACCAAGGUAAGGAUCACAAGAAUUUGCCUUUCGUGUGGGUCUGCAAAGUAAUCUUGUCGUCUUCUGUGCAGCUGUUCGCUUUGACCCUGAAAAUGAAAAGGUCAGAGUGAAUGCUGCCAUUCAAGCUCGCCGUGAUGUUGUUGAUCGAGCGGAUCAAGCAGGUCAAAAGAUACUUCACCUCCUGCCGUGACAUGCUAGCUUCGACUCAUCUGGCCUUAUGGCCGCAGGAGAAGGUGCCUCGUAAACUGGGCAGCCUGCCGUGACAUGCUUUUGGCUGGAUCAGUCAAGGAGCUACGACAUGAUGCUGUUGAUCGAGCGGAUCAAGCAGGUCAAAAGAUACUUCACCUCCUGCCGUGACAUGCUAGCUUCGACUCAUCUGGCCUUAUGGCCGCAGGAGAAGGUGCCUCGUAAACUGGGCAGCCUGAUGGUGAAGUUUCACGGCGAGGAGAAGAUGAAGGAACUGGUUCGACUCCAGCUGGUGAAGGGUGCCCAGAUUGCCCUCGCAUUUGUGCGAGUCAACUGCCCAGAAUUGGAUUUCUGGCGAAUUGCUACACUGCCAGUUACUCUCACCCGGGGUAUAAAGUCAUUCCUGGAGGCUGGGCAGGUGGCGGCGCUGCAGAUGAUCCGGCAAUUGGAGGCAGCCGAGGAGGAGACCCUACCUCGUCGUAGGUAGUCAUGUAGUUUUUUCGUUUUUUUGUAACGACUAUUCUACCGGGUGCGCGAUUAGCGCUCCCGGGGAGUAGCCCCCGAGUUCGGUUGCGACUGUGUGCAGUGGCGGCCGGACUCAACGUUGUAAUGUAAUAUCCUUGAAUUUCUUGGCAAUAUUGCACCCCUUCUUUUUUUUGGAAAUGGAGCGCCCUGACUUGCCAAUCAGCGCCGAGUCGAAUUCUGACUUGUGGAAGUCGAAUUUGAGUCGGAUUUGAAGUACUCUCGGUGGGUGUGCCUCGCAGUCGGAUAUAAAUAACCGAGUGCGGACUCGAACUUACUAGCCAGCGCAAGGGAUUUGUCCUGCUGAUUAGCACUUGGGUCUUGCGAGAAGAUAUGUAUUCCUCCGAUGCACUCGAGGUUAUGCAUAUCCGUUUGGGACAUGUUGAAUACUACCUUGCGCAAGCACGGGAGGAGAUCUCCUUGCUCAAGUCGGAGAAUAGGGCCGCAUCGGGCCGAGAGGAUUUCCUCCUUGGGGAAAUCGUGAAGCUGAGUUCAGAUUUGCGAGGUAACAGUUGAGUCCUUUGCUUGAAGUUGUUGAGUUAACUGAAAUUUGACUGAUUUGGACACGCCACGUUUUGCAGAUAUGAUGCCAGAACCAUAUGUUGAAGCUGAACGUGUAAAGAGUCGUCUUGAUGCUUUAGCACGAUCUGGUUCAGAGACCCCAUCCUUCAGGUCAAACCGCGACAAGGGUUACGCCCUUGCGCUGCUGUAGGAUCGAGUUGCAAGAGCAGUGAUCUGCCUGAAGUCCUGCAGUCACUGUUUGACAGAGGUGCACCAUAACUUGUUUCCGGAGCUUCCUGUUCCUGUUGACCUGAAGGGAUUAAUCGAGAGAUUUUGUGAAGGAGCAGUAGUGAGAGGGGCUACUCAUGAACAAUUGGUGGAGGGGGCUGUGCUGGCCCUCUCGAUUGUUCGUCUUUGCUACCCCUCAUUGAAUCUAGACUCCCUGCAUUUGGCUCCCUCUUACAUUCCAGACGAUGCUCAGCUUUGACCGAUUUACGACAUGAUGGAGAACACGGCCCGUCGGCUGGUGAUUCUUAUGGCCUUGGAGUAGAGUAGGCCUUGAUAUUCGUUAAAGACGUAGGCGCAGUUGCCUGAGUAGUACUUUUACCAGGUGUGCGACCAGCACUCCCGGUGGGAGUAGCCCCCGGGUCUGUGGAUGACUGGUUUGCAGUCAUGUGGAGACCCAAAUACUUUGAAAUCUUUUGUAAUUGAAAACUGUUAGCAUCGUUGAAGAUACCUUCUUGUUCUGUACUUUCGUUGAUCUUGUGUGAGAAGACAUCGUGACUCCAAUUUUGCUUGCUUGGAAACUGUCGUCCAUUGAAAGAUUGUGCUAAUGUUUGUUUACGCGAUAACCUGUGAAUGUCGGGUGCGUACAUCGAGAGGUUUUAGAGUCCACUGAAUGCAGCCUCCACGCGUCGGUUGCGCCCAAUGACAAGUUUGGUCGAUUGGACGAAGCCCCCGAGUGUCGGGUGGGUCCAAUGACAAGUUUUGGGUCGAUUGGACGCAGCCCCCGAGUGUCGGGCGCGUCCAAUGACAAGUUUUGGGUCGAUUGGAUGCAGCCCCCGAGUGUCGGGUGCGUCCAAUGACAAGUUUUGGGUCGAUUGGACGCAGCCCCGAGUGUCGCGUGCGUCCAAUGACAAGUUUUGGGUCGAUUGGACGCAGCCCCGAGUGUCGCGUGCGUCCAAUGACAAGUUUUGGGUCGAUUGGAUUGAGCCCCCGAGUGUCGGGUGCGUCCAACGACAACUUUGGGUCGAUUGGAUGCAGCCCCCGAGUGUCGGGUGCGUCCAAUGACAAGUUUGGGUCAAUUGGACGCAGCCCCCGAGUGUCGGGUGUGUCCAAUUACAAGUUUUGGGUCGAUUGGACAUAGCCCCCGAGUGUCGGGUCCGUCCAAUUACAAGUUCUGGGUCGAUUGGACACAGCCCCUAAGUGUCGGGUGCGUCCAAUGACAAGUUUGGGUCGAUUGGACGCAGCCCCGAGUGUCGGGUGCGUCCAAUGACAGGUUUGGUAUCGUUCUCUCAGUUGUGAGUGUGAUGCGAUCGCAACAAAGUAAGUAAAAAGAAAAAGACUCUGAAUAGAGGAGCUUAAAAAUGCAGAAAAAAAAGAGAAUCUAAAAGAAAAGAAAAUCAAGUAAAAAAGCCUGGCGUGUUGGCAGCGCAAUUGCGUGGCGUUCCGCGCCUUGCUUCUUGAGUCCCCGGCUCUGGAUUGGAGUCUGAGGGCGAGGUUUUUGAUUCAAAUUUCCCGUAGUCGAGUUGGCUGAACAGCCAUGUCGAGGCGCGGAUGAGCUCGCAAGUAUGUGUUUGAACUGACUCAUUCUUCGGCAGGCGUCUUCUGAGCUACACUUCAUGGGCUGCGAAGCCGGCUUGGUGUGCUGGUUGCUUUAGUGCGCCUGCUAGAAGGGGCUCCCGUUGUUGUGGUUGGGGGAGCCCAGCGAGCCAAUGCCCCCUUAGUUGAUAGGGCUGCUAGCUGAGCCAGCGUUGGCCUCCUUUGAUGAAGAAGCAUGUGCUUCCUCUGUCUUCGAGUCUACACUGCCUGUGGCCUCAAUGGCUCUUUUCUUAAGAACGGAAUUUUGGUUGUCGUCUGUUAAGAAGUAGGCCUGACCAGCCUGGUCCUGCGCGGCAAGUGAUUCGGAAAUUUUAUGGAAUUCACGGUCGCAGUGAUCAGACCUUGGGAAGCUUCUAGAGAUAGUUAUCACACCGUUGGGUCCAGGCAUUUUGAGCUUAAGGUAAGCGUAAUGCAGGACUGCCAUAAAGCGUGCUAGCGCGACGCGACACAAGACCACGUGGUACUGGGAUGGCCAGUCGACCACUUCGAAGUCGAGUCUUUCUCGUCUGAAGUUGUCGGGUGUGCCGAACACCACGUCAAGGCUAACUUUGCCCAGUGGAGCGGCUGCUUAUCGUGGGAUGAUCCCAUGGAAGGUUGUCUUUGUGGGAGCCAGUUUUGUUGUCGAGCGGUUCAUCUUUCGUAGGGUGUCGGCGUAGAUAAUGUUUAGCCCACUACCGCCGUCGAUGAACACUCUGUUCAACAUGUAGCCCCCGAUCUGUGCGUCGAGCACCAGUGCUGCGUUUCCCGGUUGUGGGAUGCAGGGUGGGUGAUCUUCUCUGGAGAAUGUGAUCUCCACUUCCGACCAGUCGAGGUACUCCGUUGAGGAGGGAGGUGACCUCACGGCCAUAUGGACCUGUCGAGUUAUGGACUUUUGGACCCGAUUUGUGGGUGUCUCUUUUUGAAUCAUGCAGAUGUGACCGACCGGAGUCGGAUAUGAACUGGCGACCGUUGUCGGUGCUUCAGGUGGCGGUGCAAGUGCGACUGGGUGAACUGCUUCGGUGAAACUGGCUGGGUGCGGAGGCGGAGGAGGAACACCGAUGCCUAGGGCUCCUGGUAUGGGAGGCGGCAAGGGUGCAUUGACUCCUUCAUUAGGGUAUGGAAGCAUCCCAGGUAAUUGUGAGAAGCCUGCACUGGUUGCCGACUGCUGUGUCCUCACAAACUCAGCCUGUAGUUCCUUGAAACACCGGCACUCGGCUAGAGGGUGACUUGGCUUGAUGUUGCCUUGCUCAUCCCUGUAGACGUGAAACGGGCAAGGGGAAGCUAGCUGCUGAGCAAGGGUUGGUUGAUUUCCUUUUCUCUGCCAUUGUUGCUUACGCUUGUCACCACCUCGAAAACCACCACCGCGAUUUCCGUUCUCCCAAGAGCCAAAAUCUGUUAGAGCGGCUACCGCGAUGAAUUCAGGUGGGUGCGAUUCUUCGAAGGCUCGGUUUUUACGCUUCCUCCGUCGAUCGUGACCACGAUCACCCUCUUCCUCUAGAGAUCGGUGGCGUUCAUUACGAACUGAGUCUUCACCGUCAGCGCAUCGAUUGGCGAUUUCCAUUAGAUAGCUGAUGGUUGUGGGUCACACACGACCCAAUUCUUCCUUGAGUUCGACUCGUCGGAGUCCUCGUUUGAAGGCGUCGAUGGCGCUUUCAUUGGAGACUUUCUCAGAAGCGUGUUUGGUGUUGGUCCAGUGCUGGAUGUACGAACGGAUGGAUUCUCCCUCCUUUUGAAUUCAAGCUCGGAGUUGCUCGAGGGAGACGGGUCGUUUGUAUGUGGACCUGAAGUUGUGGGUGAAAGCUUGGACAAGCUCCUCCCACGAGUCAAUGUCGUCUCGUGGUAAGCCAGUUAACCAUGUGCAUGCAUAAACUUUGAGUUGCAGCUGCAGGCACUACAUGGCGGUGGUACGAGAGCCGCCUUGACAGCGAAUCCCAGUGAGGUAGUCUUCUAGCCAAGUCUUGGACUCUUGAGUGCCGUCAUACUUGGCUAGAUCGGUUGGCGGUUUGAAGUUUCUGGGCAUCCUGGAUUGACAAAUGCGACGGUUGAAGCAUGGCGCUCCGCAUGUCUCGGCCUCGUGAUUGGAGUCCGGCGAGCGGUCACGAUACCUGUCUCGCCGAUCGCGGUUUGCGACCCGAGGAGACCCCAGUGUUUCCCUCGGGUGCGAGUCGCGCUCCUUGUGACCUCGUGGAGGCGGGUCGAGGUCAUGCUGGGUUUCUCCAUCGCGGCGGGAUGAAGUCUUGUCCCGCGGCUGCCUUCGGUUGUUGAAGUCUUGGCUGAUACAAGAAGCCCCCGCUUUAUUCAAUCCUUCCAGAAUCUGCUUGUGAAGCCGCGAGCGCGGGUCACUAUCAGGUGGCUGGAUCGUUUGUAGGUAGGUAUUGGCUGCAAGCAAGGCAGCCUCUGGGGUUUCUGGUAUCAUAUCGUCGUGGUCGUCCAGGUUGAAGCCAGGUUUCAGGAAGUGUGAUCACGAUGCGAGAUGUUUCGUCUGGGGAGAGGAUGCGCCCCUUGGCUGCUUGGGGUGGCCUGAUCUUUCGGUGAGAUGGAUAACUAUGAUUUGGAGCAGAAGUAGACGUUGACGAUCCGACUACACCGGACACUAGACGGUGCACUUUAGCAAUCGCUACACCAACUCCCUGUGGUUAUUGACAGAACCAAAGGCGCCGUCAACCUAAACACGAAGUUCCAAUCGCUGCUAAGAAUUGAGAACAAGCAAGAAUCGAGAUAAGGCAAUCUGAAAUUGCAAAUAAAGAUGAAGUACAGCAGUCUCAAGGAGACGAGUAAGAAGGUGGGGUUCCGAUGGCGGUUCUUCCAGUAGGUCUAGCCGACACUAGUGGUGAAGCCUGAAGUUGCAGCAAUGGCUAACUUAUCUAAACAAAGCCCAACCAGCCAAAGGGGGUGGUGGCUGCACUUAUAUAGAGGGUGGGAGGUGGAAGAGAGCUAGGGUUUCAGAUUCUAAGAUGGGAUGGGCUGUGUUACAUGGCCUUGGGCUCAUUAGAAGUGCAAGUGGCAGCCCAAGCAUCUCUUAUCUUCCCAUGACUUUAAGAGACUGCAGCUUCUCAUAUUCUCGUGGUAGUUGCUGCACCGUUUCCUUUCGCACGCGUGUCUUCAUCGUCGAAGUUCGACUCGCUCCCAUUCCUUGUGUCACGGCUCGGUCCUUCAUUCCUAAUCAACAUAGGUGCAUCUGAUUUAGGCAUCAUCAUAUUCUCAUUUAGAUUGCCCAUAGUACAAAGAAACGAAAGUACCUGAUAAUUGAGUUGGCGCGCACGCACACGAGUAAUCGGUUCUUGUAAUGUCGCGGUUGUAUCUGUGAGGUGGAUGUCCUCAUCAUCCUCCCCUUCUUGAAACGGAGUCAUCCGCAAUACCAUCUCAUCAUCCUCGCCCAAGUAGGGCUUCAAAUCUGCAAUGUUAAAUGUGGGACUAACCCCACCAUAAUCUGCAGGCAGCUCAAAUUGAUAUGCAUUAUCAUUUAUUUUCGCUAGAACCUUGAAAGGGCCAGCAGCACGAGGCAUGAGUUUAGAACUACGCAAAUUAUGGAAACCGGUCCUUUCAUAACUGUAACCAAACAAGAUCACCGGGUUGAAAAACAACCUCUUUUCUCCCUCUAUCACCAGCAAGUUUAUACUUGUCAUUCAUACGCUCAAUGUUGACUUUAGUGGUCUCAUGUAAUUUUAGAAUCAUUUUAGCCCGUGCACUAGCAUCAAGAUUAAUCUUUUUAGAAGUUGGAAGGGGCAGCAAAUCAAUGGGUGCACGAGGAAUAAAACCAUGGACAACUUCAAAAGGGCAUAACUUAGUAGUAGAAUGCAAUGAACAAUUAUAAGCAAAAUCAACAUGAGGCAAGCAUUCUUCCCACAAUUUUAAGUUUUUCUUUAAAACAGCCCUAAGCAUGGUAGACAAAGUUUUAUUAACAACUUCAGUUUGUCCAUCAGUCUGGGGAUGACAAGUAAUUUUGUCCCCAAUUUUGUCCAUAAACACCUCCAAAAGUGGCUCAAGAAUUUGGUGUCCCGAUCUGAAACUAUAAUGUUGGGCACACCAUGCAAGCGUACAACUUCACGAAAGAAAAGAUCAGCAACAUGUGUGGCAUCAUCACUCUUGUGGCAAGGAAUAAAAUGAGCCAUCUUUGAAAAUCUGUCCACGACAACAAAUAUGCUAUCCCUCCCCUUCUUAGUUCUAGGUAAUCCCAACACACAAUCCAUUGAUAUAUCCUCCCAGGGAACAUUAGGGACAGGGAGAGACAUAUAUAAACCAUGAGGAUUGAGUCGUGACUUAGUUUUUUGGCAUGUGGUGCAGCGAGCAAUGAAUCUCUCAACAUCCCAUCUCAUCCGAGGCCAAAAGACAUCAACAGCGAGCACAUCCUCUGUCUUCUUCACUCCGAAGUGACCCAUUAAACCUCCUCCAUGCGCCUCCUGCGACAACAAAAGACGAAUGGAGCUAUCUGGGAUGCAUAGCUUGUUAGCACGGAACAGAAAUGCAUCAUCAAUGAUGAACUUGUUCCAAGUCUUUCCCUCUCUACAAUGCUGCAAAACAUCUUUAAGAUCUGCAUCUUGCACAUAUUGUUCUUUGCUGGUCUCCAAACCAAAGAUUUUGAAGUCAAGUUGUGAAAGCAUGGUCUAACGGCGUCAUAAAGCAUCAGCAAUAACAUUGUCCUUUCCCUUCUUGUGUUUGAUUACAUAGGGAAAAGACUCAAUGAAUUCAACCCAUUUUGCAUGCCUACGGUUCAGUUUUGCUUGGCUGUGAAUAUGCUUCAAAGAUUCAUGAUCUGAAUGUAUAACAAAUUCUUUGGGCCAUAAAUAAUGUUGCCAUGUUUCGAGGGUUCGAACUAGAGCAUAUAAUUCUUUAUCAUAAGUAGAAUAGUUCAAAGCAGGCCCUCCUAAUUUCUCACUAAAGUAAGCAACAGGUUUGCCCUCUUGUAAUAACACACCUCCCAAACCAAUUUGAAGCGAUCCUCCCCCUUACUAGGGUUUGAUCUCUGUGCUUACUGUGCUAGUCCCUGGAUCGACUCACUAGCACACACAUUUCCAUGAUGAAGUAUACAGAAACAAAGGUCAAAAAUACUUUAUUACAUCGCAUCAUCCAGAGUUUAAAUAGUACUUACAACCUCGCAUGACCUCUUGGGCCAGCAUAAAACAAAAAUUGUUUCAACAUCAUAAAACAAUGUUUCAAAAUACCGCAGCGGAAAAGGGUAGAACAUAAGGGCCACACUACUCCAAGGUGAGAGCAUGUUGGAAUGUAAGCACAUGACCCACAACAAAACGACGAACCUCACUCAUCAUCGGAUCCACCUGCAUUGUUAAUUGCAGCCACUACGUGGUCAAUACAUUUGAAUGUAUUGGCAAGUUCACCAGAGAUAUAACAGAUCCUAUCAAGUAUAGGUGGGGUUUGGCUAUUUGCAUAAAAGCAUCAUUGUUCAAUCCUAUCAUUUUAAACAAAUAGUUUUGAAUUCUAUUGGACACGGGGUAGAAACAACCAUGCUCCUAUUAACCUAGGCACAUUGAGUAGAAACAACAAUGCUCCUACCCAGUUCAAACCAUUCAUUUUAUUUGGAAAUUGGAGUGAGUGAGACCUUCCUUACAGCCCCAAUAUCUAGUUGCUCAUAAUUGUCUGUAACCGGGGACAUGGCUAAGUAGUUAGUUUGACACUCUCGAGAGGUGGUACACUUUACCCACAAGAAAUCGACGUGUUAAUCCCUUGCUGUCCUCAGGGUAGAGUAGCAACGGUAUCGACUACAGGAAUUUUCAGAACAUAAUCCCCCAGUCCACCUGAGGGACGCGUCCCCACCUACACUGCUACAUACCGAUGUCACCUCGGAUCCGGGUUCAUAUUUCUUACAUCCAUCCUGGCAGAGCCAAUAAUACCAUGUGGUUGUACUGGAAGCUCCUAAACAGGAAACUAGUCCAGUCUCUGGUUACCCCGGGUGGCAUUCCUCGGUUGCAACGCAGGCGCUCCCAUAGAAAUGGCGAGACGACUCAUAGAAAUGGACCCAUAGAAAUGGACCUGACGCCGCAUACAUCUCCACUUCCUCAAAGUAGCCCACCCAGGACGGUUCAUUAAAUUACUUGUUUUGCCAUACACUAGGAAAACUAUAUUGUAAUUCAAUAGUAUCACAUUGUAAUAAUACCGCCCUCGUUUAUUAUCAUAGCAUAGCAAUUUACUACUACGAUAGCAAUUGGUGGUUAGGAAAUGGCAAGGGUAUCCUAUACUACUAGGACAGAUCAUAGCUCGCAUAGAUAUAGUAAUAAUCCUAACAAUGCAACUAAUAAAAAUCUAGUGCAUAAUAAAAUAAUGGGAUGAUGAUCAAAGUGAACUUGCCUUGAUAGUAGUUGGUAUUCAAACACUCUUCGCAAUCACACAGUUCGCUCUCCGAGAAAACUAUACAAUCAAGCAAACAUACACAUACAUAAACACAUUGGAUAGAGGACAUUAAAUGCCAUGAUGCAAUGCCAAACAUGUGACAUGAGUUUGGUUUAUUUUAUUUGGGUGAUCUACUGAUCCAAUGCCUUGAGAAUUAAACACAUGUAAUUAGGGUUUUAAACAAAAAGCAAAAGCUAGGGUUUAAACCCUAAAAUGAGGUUUUAUUUGCAUCUGCAAAGCAAUUUAAUUCAAAAUAUUUAUUUCCCUGUCCCAUUGGACAGAGGAUAUUAAAACAAAAUUUUGGGCACUGGUUUCAUUCAACAAGAACUUUAAAUAAUUAGUUAUGAUUUAAAUGGCAUAAAACGCUAAUCUGUAAUUUGAAUGUGAUUCAAUUAUUCAAAUUUGAAUUUGGACAGUGCCAAAAUAUUCUACACUUCCUAAGGAUUCCAAAAAGGUGUGGAUCAUUAAAUUUGGCCAAACAGAUUUAAAGUUGUGAUCAUUUGAAGUUACAGGGGCCUAUCUGCAAAAUGCCAUUUAAUUAUUCCGGGGCAUUAAAAAUUAGAUUUUCAUUUUAUUUACGCUGUGGCACGUGUCAUCUCCUGAUUUGCGCAUACCGGUUUGUUUAAAAUAAAAUCUAAGAUCUAAUCCGGACCGUUGAUUGAGAUCCAACGGCCCGGGGGCAUCGGGCUCACCUCCGGCCGUUAGGGUUUCGGCAGACGGCGUCCGGUGGCGGCGCGGCACGGGCGGGGCGGCGCAGGAGUGUUCCGACGACGUGGGCGCGACGGGGAAGCAACGGGCAAGGGCGGCGCGGCACGGCGGAGACGCGGGCGCGGUCGGCGGCGCUCAGGGACGGCGGGGUCGGCGCCGCGGACGAAGACGGGCGGGCGGCGCGGUCGGCGGACGGCGGCGCGGCCUCGGGUGUCGUCGGCGGGGAGCUGCAGCGCACGAAAAGGAAAAAGAAGCGCGUCAUCUUGACCGCGAGGGAGAGAGAAGAAGAGAGAGAGGGACGGCUUCGAGGAAGGCUCACCGGACUUCGUCGGCGAGAGAGAAAACGGCGGCGGCGCGGUCGGACUCCGGCGAGAAAUCGGGGCGGCCUGGCGGCGCGAUUGGCUGGGGAAGCAAGGGGGAAGAAGAGAGGAGGGCAUGGGCUAUUUAUGGACGCGCUCGGGCUCGAGGAUUAAUGGACGGAGCGAGGGGAAUCCGGCGCUGAGCGCGUGGCGGCGAAGAAGGAAGGCGCGCGGCGGACGCAGGGCUUUCCUUCCGGGGAAGAAGCCCCUGACAGGUGGGCCCCACCUGUCAGCGGGUGCGGGCACGGCGCGAGCGAGCGGCUGGGCCGGCUGGGCUGCGGCGCACGCGAGGGAGUUGGGCCGGUUCAGCCCAAUUCGGCCGGGCCGGUCCGUUCCUCCCCUUUAUUUUUCCCCCUUUUCUUUUUCUAUUUUUCUUAUUCCUUUGAUAUCUUUUGAUUUUGAACUCCAAAUUGGUCCAAAUAAAUUCCAGAAAAUUUGUAUAAUCAUGUUCUACCAUGAGACAACUUUUGGGAGUAGUUUCUCUUCAAAAUAAAAUAUAUAAAAAUAUAUUUGCCCUAUAAAUGCCUUUAGGGCCACAUAUCUAUUUAAAUAAAAUACUUUUUCAACUCCAAAGAAUUACCCAAAAAUUAUGGGAUAGCUCAUAUGUGCAAUAAACCCCUUUUAUAUAUAAACCUUAAUGGUUUGAAGGUCCAAAGCUCAAAUAGGUGUAAACAAAAUCUUUUAAAGCCUUUUGUGAUUCAAAUUUGAAUUCAAACAUGCAAUUGUGGCAUGAUGCUUAUGGAUGCAAUGCUCAUGUAAAAGUUUGAAAUUUUGGGAUGUUACACAAUUCCACUAGCAUCACAUUCAAGCUCAAAGGUUUUGUUAAAAUCAGGAAGUUGGAGUAAAGGAGCAUGUGUCAACUUAUCUUUCAAUAUGCUGAACGCCUCUUCUUGCGUAGGUCCCCAAACAAAGGGAACAUCCUUCUUUGUGAGCUCAUUUAGAGCGGCAGCAAUGGUGCUGAAAUCCCUCACGAAGCGCCGAUAGAAUCCAGCGAGGCCAAGAAAACUCCUCACUUGAGUGACCGUCUUCGGCGGUGGCCAGCUUUGGAUGGCUUCAACUUUGGCUUUCUCCACUUCAAUUCCCUGCGGUGUCACAACAUAGCCAAGAAAAGAAACUCGAUCCGUGCAGAAGGUGCACUUGUCAAGGUUACCAAACAAGCGUGCAGUCCGUAAGGCAUAAAAAACAGCAUGCAAGUGAUUUAAAUGAUCCUCUAAAGACUUGAUGUAGAUCAAGAUAUCAUCAAAGUAAACUACCACAAAGCGUCCAAUAAAAGACCAUAAAACCUCAUUCAUUAGUCGCAUAAAGGUGCUGGGGGCAUUCGUCAAACCAAAAGGCAUAACUAGCCACUCAUAGAAACCGAAUUUAGUUUUAAAUGCAGUUUUCCAUUCAUCUCCAAGCCUCAUACGGAUCUGGUGGUAACCACUACGCAAAUCAACCUUAGAGAACAUGGUAGAGCCGCUCAACUCAUCAAGCAUGUCAUCUAAUCGUGGAAUUGGAUGGCAGUAGCGAAUGGUAAUAUUGUUGAUAGCUCUGCAAUCAACACACAUGCAGGAGGAUCCAUCUUUCUUUGCUACCAAAAGAAUAGGGAUAGCACAUGGACUAAGAGACUCACGAAUGUAACCUUUGUCGAGCAGCUCCUGCACUUGUCGCUGAAUCUCCUUGUCUCCUCGGGGUUGGUACGGUAUGGCGCUCUAUUGGGAAGUGCAGCCCCGGGAAUCAAAUCAAUUUGGUGCUCUAUCCCGCGGACCGGUGGUAAUCCCAGUGGUGUCUCUUGUGGAAAGACAUCCUCGAACUUCUGCAAAAGGUUAGCAACGGCAGGGAGCAAAGACGAAGGCAGAUCCUCAAGCAAAAACAAAGCCUCUUUGCAAAUAAUGGCAAAGCAAGUAGAGACACAAGUGUCAAGUUCAGAAAUAUCAGAUUUGGUAGCAAGCAAACAUGUACCCUUUAAACGAAUCUCAUUACCAAUUUUAGGUUCAGAUUUGGGUGCACUUGUUUGCCCUAUAAAUUCUUUAGCAACAAUCUGAUUUUCACUUUUAGCUUUGGCCAGAUUUUUAUCUCUACUAGCCCGAGAAAGAUCAUCCUUUAAAACCUGUUCAGGAGUCAUUGGUUUGAGGCCAAUCUUAUUUCCAUUAUGCACAAGAGAGUACUGGUUAGUUCUACCAUCAUGAAUUCACUCUCUAUCAUAUUGCCAAGGUCUACCAAGUAACAAGGAACAUGCUUGCGUAGGUGCAACAUCAAAAUCAACAAAAUCAGCAUAUAUACCAAUUGCAAAAUGUGCACGAACAGUUCGGGUUACCUUGACCUUACCACUGUUAUUGAACCAUUGGACAUAGUAGCGAUAGGGGUGCGGCCUGAUUGUGAGAGCAAGCUUCUCAACCAAAUCCAAACUAGCCAAGUUGUUGCAACUCCCUCCAUCGAUGAUGAUACGGACGGCCCGCUCCUUGAUAACGCCACGUGUUUGGCACAAGUUGUGGCGCUGAUUUUGGUCAACCGGGCUGGGCUGCACACUUAACACAUGUUGGGUGACAAGGCUCUUGUAUUGAUCAGCAUGUUUAGCACCCAUCAUCUCCAUUUCUUGCUCAGCCGUGCCCUCCGUUUACUCUUGGUCAGCAAUCAAAGCAUAGGUGUCCUCAUCAAGGUCACUAGCUGAAUUGUAGCCAUCUUCAGGAAUAAUCAUCACACGUUUCGUAGGGCAAUCCUUGUGGAAAUGACCAUAACCCUUGCAUUGGUGGCAUUGCACAUCUCCUGUUCGUCCCGUGGAGCCUAUAGAUGAUGUGCUCGGGGUUGGGGCAGCCGGCAUGCUUUUAGUCGUAGUUGGGGAUGCCGUACUCGAACAUGGUUGCCACGAGCUUGUUUUGUUGGAGGAGGUGGUUGCAGCAGCCGUGCGAGUAGGAGGGGCUGAAGUGGUGCGUCGCGUCCACGCAGUAGUGCGACCUGCAGAAAUGUUAGUCCUUGCCUUCGGUUGGCGGUCCUGCACUUCACGUUCAGCUUUGCAAGCAAGAUGGAAUAAACGCGUGAUAUUAUUGUACUCCUUAUAAUCAAGUAUGGUUUGAAUAUCCCUGUUCAACCCACCUACGAACCUAGCCAUCAUGGCUUCAUCAUCUUCAAUGAUAGCACAACGGAUCAUUCCCGUUUGCAGCUCUUGAUAAUAAUCUUCUACAGAUUUAGAGCCUUGAUUUAAACGUUGCAGCUUGCCUAGCAUUUCUCGUUGAUAGAAAGGAGGUACAAAUCGAGCUCUCAUGGCACGUUUUAACGUAUCCCAAGUGUUGGGAAUAUUAUUAUCAUGCAACCUACAAUGUUCACUCCACCACGUUGAAGCAAAACCAGUAAAUUCACAAACGGCGGUUCUAACUUUUCUAUCUUCAGGAAAGUCAUGGCAAGUGAACCAUUGUUCUACCUCUAGUUCCCAAGUAAGGUAAGCAUCAGGGUCAUAGCGACCCUCAAAUGGCAGCAUAGAAAACUUAACCUUAGGGACAUUAAAAUCAUCACGUACCUCCCGACGUGGCCCCAUACCAUGUCGAUUAUGAUGCAGCCGACGAGGUUGGCGGUCGUUGAUGCGGUUGGUGUCUUGUGGGUCCUCUGAAUUAGCAGCAUAAUCGGAAUCGUCGGAGGCCGCCAUGUCCUCACCAUGUCAUGCAGGAACUCCAGUGCGGGAUGCAGUACCGUAAUGCGCCGUUUCAAUGUGAAGGGCACGAGGGCGACCAGCUGGAGGUGGUUGUUGUGGUUGUUGCCGAGAUGGGGGCUGCCAGUGUGUUCCAUCCAUGCGAGCAAGGAGGGUGUCAAACUUGGUAUUCAUUUAUCGCAGCAUGUGUCUUUUCCAUGUCCGUGACAUGGGUGAGCAACCACUUGAUGUCAUCAUGCACUGUGCGUCAGCGAGGGGUGAGGUCAUCGCCACUGUUCUCUCCAGGGCCUGCCAUGGUUAGUGCAAACAAGGAAAACAAAGCACUACAAAGCUCCUAUGCACUAGUGGGAUGUGGGGAAAAAGGCUCUCAACACUCGUGCAGUUUCACAAUUCUUACAAGUUCUUACCAUGCAGCAGGGGGUGACUCAGCAAUCAACGGUGUCUCACCACGAAGAAGAUUGGAUAAGCGAUUGCCAGGAGACACGAAACUCUGCACAAAAUCGUUUAAAGUGGAGCUUGUGUGGCUGAUAUUAGUACCAAGGAUAAGCAAUGAACAAAUAGCAAUACAAAGUUGACAAUAUUGUCACAAAUGCUAGUCCUAGCUGCUGGACUUCGAGUAGUACAAGUAGGAUAAGAAUCUAAGCCCAGAUGAUGAAGUGAAAAGCCGAAAACACGAGCACAAGAACUCAAAUUCGAUGAUUUUUCCGAAAUGUCCAGUAGGAUAUUUUUGGGUUUUGACCCUCUUCCUGAGCUCCGAUUGAGCUGAAAUUUUAACAGCAGCUUCCUGAUGUGGCCCUUGAUUUUACAGAAUUUUUCCAGAUUUUUCUAGGCACUUUGAAUUUUCGAGCCCAAAAGCAAUUUUGACCAGAUUUGCCUCUGGUUUUGGGCCGAAAUUUUUCUUUUUGAUAAAGGGGAACCAAUCUCAGAUCUCUUAUAUUUGCUUCUUUAGCACAGGGAAAUAACUAAAUAACUUUCUCACUCACAAAUUUUGGGUAGAAAGAGCAGGGGUAAAAAGCCCAAAAGCAGCUCUCUCUCUCUCUUUCUAUCUCUCUAGUCUUUGACUUUUUCAGAUCCACGGUGGCUGGGAUUGAUGGGGGUGAUUUGGUGGUGUUGGAUGAGUGAUUUGGCAGCGGUGGAUGGGGAGAACAUGGGUGGUAGCAGAUCGGGUGAAGUGGUGGGGUGUGGUGACAGCAAAAACUCCAAGAACUCGAAGAACACGAAGAACAGGGGAAACAAAAGGGGUACGAUCUGGUAGAAAACAAAUCCAACUCGAACCAACCUAGUCCAGCAACUUGACACGAAGAGUGCAGCAACAAAUCAACAAAGCAAUAAGUAAUCGAACAUGCACGGCUCAGAUCUGGUGCUAGGACAAGGUAACUGAAAAACAAUAUUUUUGUGGGGCUUUUUCUAGACUGUAGGUAGAAGAAGAAGAACUAAGGGAUAACUGAAAUUUCUCACCGAGCAACUUGAGCUCUGGUACCACUUGAUGCGCCCCUUGGUUGCUAGGGGUGGUGGUUGCAGCAAUGGCUAACUUAUCUAAACAAAACCCAACCAGCCAAAGGGGGUGGUGGUUGCACUUAUAUAGAGGGUGGGAGGUGGAAGAGAGGUAGGAUUUCAGAUUCUAAGAUGGGCUGGGCUGUUACAUGGCCUUGGGCCCAUUAGAAGUGCAAGUGGCAGCCCAACAUCUCUUCUCUUCCCAUGACUUUAAGUGGCUGCAGCUUCUCGUAUUCUCGUAGUAGUUGCUGCACCGUUUCCUUUCGCACGCGUGCCCUCGUCCUCGAAGUUCGACUCGCUCCCAUCCUUGUGUCACGGCUCGGUCCUUCAUUCCUAAUCAACAUAAGAGCAUCUGAUUUAGGCAGCACCAUAUUCUCAUUUACAUUGUCCAUAGUACAAAGAAACAAAAGUACCUGAUAAUUGAGUUGGCGCACACGAGCACGAGUAAUCCGUCCUUGUAAUGUCGCGGUUGUAUCUGUGGGGUGGAUGUCCUCAUCAGGAGAUCUCUCGGAGGUGUGGCUCCUUCAGAAUCGCUGAGUGAACCCGGGCGAGUUCUUUUGUGUGCCUGGAUGUCUUCAUCCGGUUUCUUGAGCCUCUCCGCUUCAAGCUUUUGCUUCUUGACGAAAUCCUCCUUCUCUUUGUUCAGGUCGCGCUGAGCCCUAGCAAGUGAGUUAGCAUAUAAUUGCAACUCAGCAAUACUGGGAUCCUUCAUGAGGACUCCCGACUCCAGGGCUGCCUGGACUCGAGCUUUCUCUGCCGCAGAAUAUCCAGCCGGUAGACAUGCGGAUGCACUCGCGGCCAGAGGAGUCUGCUUUGGGUGGCGGGAUUUGUCAUGAAGACUUGAGCGAUGGCGAUCUCGGGCGCAAGAUCGCUGCUGCUAUGGCAGCCUUCCCGUUCUGAAGAGUUGCCGGCGUUGCCUGGGAUCGGGCUUUCUGCAGACUGGGGUGGAUUGCUGUUGGACUCGGAGUAGGUUCCAAGGGAAACCUGCUCUGUUUCGUCGAGUGCGCCCGGCGAGGUGAGGUUAUCACGGCAACUCCCUUGAUCCGAGCGGUCGCCAGCGUCGCUAGGGACGGGGCUAUUCGCACGUGAGGAUGGAUCGUCUUUGAAAUCAGAGCAGGUCCAAGAGGGGACUCGCUCUGCCUCCUAGAGUAGUUUCGAUGAGCCUGUCGGCGGGUCUUUCUCUGAAGGAGAAAAGAGAAGCAGUUCUUCCGGAGUCGAAGGAGUCGAACACGGUAAUCGAAGGAUACCGGAUCGGACGUGGAACUCACCGAAUAUGAGAUCCAAGCGGGCAUCAAGCUUGUCCAAGACUACGGGGUUGGACUGAAGGCGAACGGCAGAAGGCUCAAGGAUCGUCGACUCCGCCUGAGUCGAUGAUGGUUCUGCUGGAUCUGGAACCGCCAAGGUCGUGUUUCCAACACACGUUCUUCCACAGACAGCACCAAUAACAAAGAUGUAACUUCGACAAUGUCCAUAUUGAUGGACUUGUACCAAGGAAAGAGGAGUGUGUGUUGGUGAACUCGUCGGCUAACAAGGACACAGGGGACACGAUUUACCCAGGUUCAGGGCCCUCGAUGAGGUAAUACCCCUACGUCCUGCUUGUCGGAUCUGUAUUGAUGAGUCGAUUACAAUGGUGUGCCGCAGAGUCUAGAGGCACCGAGUCGUCGAGUGCGUCUAGGCGACUUGUAUCUAAGUGGGGGGGUGUCCUCUUGGCUCCCCCUCCUGGUCCUUUAUAUAUGCAGGAACUCAGGUCUCAGGUAGAGUCCAAGUCGGUUACAAUGAAGAGAUAUACUCUAAUUAUCCUUCCUUGUCUUGAGUCGCAAGAUUUGGCAUGUAGACUCCUGGAGUCGAAGUAGGCUUCCUUGUGGACCCCCAGCUGGGCCGUAUUGGGUAUAAUCGAGUCGAGUACGUGGUUAGUCAUAACCACGUCAGGCUCCCGAGGGAGACUCGUUCUGCAUCGUCAGGUGAUCCCGACGAGUCGUUGUUGCUAUGGCAACUUUCUUUUUCCGAGCAGUCGCCAGCGUCGCUUGGGACGGGGCUUUCCGCACACAGAGGUGGAUCUGGUUCAGAAUCGGAGUGGGUCCUGGAGGAGACCUGUUUUGUUUCGUCGAGUGGCCCUGGCGAGUCUGCUGGCGAGACUUUUCCUAGGGACGAAGGAAGUGACGACUCCUCCGGAGUGGGAGCAGUCGGACCCGGCAGUUGAAGGAUGCCAAAUCGGUCAGCUCGGACGUGGAAUUCCCCAAACACGAGAUCCAUGCCAGCAUCAAGCGUGUCGAAGACCGCGCGGCUGGUUGAGGGGUGAGCGGUGAAGUGGAAGGACCCAAAGGUCAUCAACUCCGCCUAAGUCGACGACGGGUUAUCUGAAUCUGAAACCGCCGAGAUCUUUCUCCAACACACGUCUUUCCCACAGACGGCGCUAAUGACGAAGUUGUGACUUCGACAAUGUCCAUAUUGGUGGACUUGUAUCUAGGAAAAAUUGAGUCUAUGUGUUGACGAACUCGUCGGCUAACAAGGACACAGGGAACACGAUUUACCCAGGUUCAGGGCCCUCGAUGGACUAAAUUACAGAAAACCACCACAUUAGUGGCUAGGGUUUCAGGUAGGUACCAGUUUACGUUUUGAUGACUAAAAACCACCGGAUUAGACUAAACAUUCCGUUGCUAGCGGAUAACCCCGAAACUGACGAGCCGGGUCUACUUGUCGGGCCAACAUGGCAUGACUGCGUGGCCACGUUCCUCUAUUCCUCCUCUUUUACGUCCUCCCUCUCCGACCAGCUCCAGCCGCUCUCUGCACGCUCCUUGCCGACAAGCCCACGCCGGCGGCAGACCAGCAGCAGAACCGCCCCACGCCAGAGCCUACGUUUCUUCCCUAUCUUUGGCGAGCGCGUCGCUGCCCCCACAUCCAUGCUGCCUUCGCGUAGUUCCCUAGCGCGGAGCUUCGAUCUGCCCUAGCCGAUUCUUCCACAUCGGUGCCCCGCGCCCUCGCACUUGGUCUUGCAUGAUGACGGCGGAGUGAGCCCCGCCGUGCAGCCCCAUUGGAGCCGUGGAUGCGCGUCGGCCGCCGCUCUGCCGGCCCGCGCGCACUGCUCGUCAUCGCCUCCGCACGUGCUCGCCGUCGCCGCUCUGACCAGCGCAAGCCACGCCAUGGUCUGCAUUGGCAGGAGCGCGAGGCCUUCCGCACCAACCACGACUCCACGAGCCCUUCAAGGUCAGGAAUCAAUCAAUCACACCCGACAUCAUCUUCCGCACCAACCACGAGCUCUUCAAGGUCACCAAUCAAUCAAUCCCACCAUGUAUCAUCAAAUAGCAAAACAGAUCAUCAAUUUGAUGGAGAUUAACUAGAUUUCUAGAUGACAUUUCAGUCUCGUGCAUUUAUGAAGAAGCACAUGUAGAAAUUCGAUCAUUUCUCCCGCCACCCCCUGAUGGCUCGUCUCUGCAGGCAGAUCUUGGCCGGCAGCUGCUGCCCACUUGGACGAGCUCGAGGAUGGUGGGUGGAGACCCGAGACCACGAGGCCGAUGCCCAUCAACGAGCUCGGUCUCUCAGGCAGGAUGGACAGGUCGCAGCGCUCUCGGCGGUGCCAGAGAAGAGGGCGGCGACGUGAUUUGGGUGGAGAAUGGAAAGAAUGCAGAGAGAGAAAGAAGAGAUGAGACAAGUCCUUGCUGCCUUGCUGGCAAGCCACGUUGUCCCGACCACUGGACCCGGCUUGUCAGUUUUGGGGUUGUUUGCUAGUGACCCAACGCUUAGUCUAAUCUGGUGGUUUUUAGUCACUAAUGUGGUCGUUUUCUGUAAUUUACUCCCCUCGAUGAGGUAAUACCUCUACGUCGUGCUUGUCUGAUCUUGUAUUGAUGAAUCGAUUACAAUGCGGUGCCACGGAGGCUAGAUGCACAGAUUCGAUCUGGCGAGUGCGUCUAGGCAACUUCUAGCUAAGUUGGGUUCUUCUUGGCUCCCCCUCCUGGUCCUUUAUACAUGCAGGAAUCCAGGUCUAAGGUAGAGUCCUAGUAAGUUACAAUGAAGAGAUAUACUCUAAUUAAUCUUCCUUAUCUUGAGUCGCAAGAUUUGACAUGUAUACUCCUGGAGUCGUAGUAGGCUUCCUUGUGGUCCCCUAGCUGGGCCAUAACGGGUAUACUCGAGUCGAGUACGUGGUUAGUCAUAACCACGUCAGCCUGCACUAGCAAAAACACUCCAAACGAGAAGGAUGGACCGCAGCUGAUUCCAAGAGCCAUGGGUCACAGGACCCAAAAAUCCGUGUCCCUCUGCUAAUUUCGCUGACGUUCCUAAUUCAACCAGUUAGGCUGCUCAUAGUGGGAGUAACAUAGGUGGUAACAUAAGUGCCAACUAAGCAAAUUCUAGAUCAUAUCCCAAAAGAACUCUUGAUUUCUACUCCUAUAGAUCAAUUUGUUUGUUUUGAGAAGAGAAAAUUACACAAAACCACCACAUUUGGGGCACUCUACUAGGAAAACCAUCUUUUUUUUUUCAAAUUACCAUCGUUUUUGGGGCGGGACGUAAUCGCGCGCACUGAUUCGGCAGUUGAGUGUGUUUUCACUACUACAAAAACCAUUACUACUGCAAGCUCCCCACUGACGCGGUAACAAAAUGCGUCAGGCCAGAUGGACACCUCUGACACUUCAUAUAAAACGUGCCAAGGGAAGCAACUGGGAGCACACGGCAACAAACAAAUCUGACACUCCCUCUCCAGACGCGUCAGAGAAGUUGCACACCUCUGACGCCCGCUCUCUACUGACGCUUCUUUACUUAAGACGCGUCAGAAGAGUGUUACACAGUUCUCACGCAUUCUUCCGUAGAAGUGUCGGUGCUUUGCUUGGGGAGACCUCGGACACUUCUUGGGAGCAAAGCGUCAGGGUCCUUAUGCUACUGCACUGGCUACAUUUUUUUUUGUGACUUGCGUGCGUCAGAGGUCAAAUGCACUAGACACGCAAUUCGAGAUGAACAUAUGUAAAACAAUGUAAAAUGGAUUGAUAGAUUUAUAAGAAAGAUAAGAUAGCAUUGCAUAUAUAUAACAUCGAUUACAAAACACGUCCUUACAAUAAAAGAAAAACUAAAAGUAGUAAAAACAUAUAUUAUAGCCAGAUAUUAAUUAGAUACAAAUAAUUAAAAAACCGCCAUCGUCAUCGGUGGUGGAGUCGGAGCUGUCGUCGUUGUCGUCCACGUGCAUGGCGUCGACGUCGGCCUAGUACUCCCUCACGGCCUGCCUCCCUCGCUCCUCGACAGCGUUGGUACGCUCCGAGUUGAGGAGCGCGGUCUGGUACUCCCACUUCUCCCGUGCCUUCGCCGCCUCUAGGCCGCACUUGAUGGUGUAAGCUUCCGCCUAGGAAGCACGCUUCGCGGCCGCUAUCUGCCGACGGUUGGCUUCACGAGCACGUUGCUCGCAAGUGUCUAGGAGCUCGGACACUUGGAGGACGUGCUGGAGCUCGGGGUCGUUCUCGUCGUCGUCGCUGCACCGGCGCCGCAGCGAGGAAGACGGACCCGCACGUCCUCAGUGGGAUGAGGACAGGAUGUCGUCCUCAUGCCGGGGCCGCUUUCAUGGCGGCAAGCGGCCUCGACGGCUGGCCGAGCUCAUCGCUGCGUCGUUUGGCGGCGAAGGCAAGGAGGGCGGCAACGCGCGCCCAUGGAGGGUGGGGGGAGUCGGGGAUGGAUCGCCCACGGCGGGGGGGCGGAGCGAGGACGGAGCGCCCAUGAUGACCCGCCGAGCUCUCGGCCUGGUCGACGCGCUCUUUGCCCCUGUCCUUGGCCAUUGGCAUUCGAAAGAGGAGCGCUGGGGAAGCGGAGAGAGCUAGCGCUAUAGGGUAGAGAACGAUGUGAAUGUUACCUGCACGUACGAGAAUAUAUAGCCACGUUCGGAGAUGGUAGUGGGGAGAGGAAGAGGCCGGGAAGAGGAAGAGCAUCGAUCGGUUUGUGGGAACACGGGCGCACAUUGCGCGGGAAACCAAGAGCCAGCAUAACUGACUCGUAAAGAGAGUACUAAAAUGUCACACGCGUUAAGGAAAUGCGAAGAGAUUCCAUAUCUCUGACGUUUCCUCCUGCAUGAAGCAUCAGAGGAGCUACACAUCUAACGCUUGCUCGCUUUGGAAGUGUUAGCGGUGUUUCUAUGUCUCUGACACUCCUUGUAUUGAAACGUCAGCCGUAUCGUAGGGUUUCUGCCUCGCCUAUAAAAGGACCUCGAUCGAAGCGCACUAAAGACACACUUGCACACACUUCAUCACACCUAUGGGCAAGACCACUCGUAGACGAAGUCUCGGCCGACCACCUCUCCCCCGCGUCCGGUUGUUGCCUCGCCGUCGUCGUCGCAACUUGCAUGUUGCCUCAUCGGUCUCUUCCUCAUCGUUGACCAUGCCGAGAUCUGAUCGAACUCCAGCAUCAGCUCGUCGUCUUUUUUGUAAGAAUGCCCAUCUGCUCGUUGUCUUUUUGGUAAGAUUACAGAGGUGUUCCAAGUAAAAAAGGACGAUGGGCAUUUCUUCUUCAUUUCGUCCAUGACCUUCUCCACCAUCCUUUUUUUCAUUUCCUCCUUGAUCGUUUCUUUUCCUCUGCCUUUUCCUUUUCUUCUUCCACAGCGUGAUUUUCUUCUUCUUCUACAUGAAUCACUUCUUCAUCCUUUUGUCUUCCACAGCUUGCUUCUCUUCCAAGGAUCUUCUUCUUCUUCUAUGCGGUAUAAAUCAAAAAUUAGAAUUCUCGCAGAAUAUACGAACGGCAGCGGUCCUUUUGUUUUUAAUCCUAAGAGCAACAUCAUGGGCGUGUAUCCUGUUAAAAUGCGUCAGCCUAAAAGUCAUAUCUGUCGCGUGCUGGGUGCUAACGUGUCAGAGGAGGGAACGGCAAGCGCUAACGUUCAUCCCUGAGAAAGUCCUGUCUGACGAGUUCCAAAGUCACCUCUGACACUUGAUUAGAGACGCGCCCGUUUUGCGUCAGCAUAGAAGGUUUUCGACGGGUCAGAGAUAACUAGUUCUGUAGUAGUCUUUGAUCGAAAACCUGAUAGGGGGCCCACUUGUCGAUGCCACCAUGGCUCCAUUUUGGACUAGUCGUCCACCUGUCCGAGCCUGACUGAACCCGAGAUGGUUGCAGAAACCACCACAUUUCAAUGACUUGUUGCAGAAAACAACGUUUUUUUUGCUAAUUUUCUCACAGAACCACCGCAAUUUAGUGAAGUUUUUGCACAUACCACUGAUUCUGUCGUUUGGGGUGCACAAGCUCGUUUCUGACCGAUCGAUCCCACAUGUCAGGUUGACCAGCCCAAGACGGUGUGCCGUCCAUUAGUACUUCACAGCCAAUUCCGCCCCCGUCAGUUAAGAAGAAGAAGAAUUGAAGAAGAAGAAGAAGAAGAAGAAGAAGAAGAAGAAGAAGAAGAAGAAGAAGAAGAAGAAGAAGAAGAAGAAGAAGAAGAAGAAGAAGAAGAACGUAGGAAGAGGAAGAGGAUUAAUGGACCUUGGAGUAGCUGAAGUCGCAGACUUUGAGGCAGGGAACGGGGCGACCCGGAUCCACGGUGGAGGUUGGAGGGCUUUGAUGUCGCGGUGGACGAUGUGGUGGGGCGGAGGUAGGUCGGCACUAGGAGGAGGAGAAGCAACGAACGGACAACACUGACGCCGUCUCGGGCUGGUCAACCUGACAGGUGGGUCUGAGCGGUCAGAAAUGAGAUUAUGCACCCUAGACGAAAAAAUCAAUGGUAAGUGGAAAAACUUCACUGAAUUGUGGUGGUUUAGCAAAAACGGUGGUUUCGGCAACAAGUAACUUAAAUGUGAUGGUUCUGCGCAAUUUACUCCGGACAGGGUGGUCGACUUGUCCAGUGGGGAGCCACGGUGGCACCGACGGGUGGGCUCUCCUAUCAGGUUUUCCAUCUAAACGCACUCAACUGCCAAAUCAGUGCGCGGGAGUACCUCUUGCCCCAAAACAGGUGGUAAUUUGAAAAAAAAAAGUGGUUUUCCUAGAUGGUUGCCCCAAAUGUGAUGGUUCUAUGUAAUUUUUCUCUUUUGAGAAGGGGGCUAUACAUGGUCUUUUUUUUUCGGGAAUGCCAUCUUGGCUAGCUUUAUUAAUACUCAAAUAAUAGUGACAUCAUCUAUUAGAAGAGGAACAAGAAAACUUGGAGGAUUGUCCAGCCAAACAUUCGGUGGAUCAAUCCUAGCAACCCUAGCUAGCUCAUGCGCUACCUGAUUAGCCUCUCUUGGACAAUGUUCAAUGACAACCUUCCGGAAUUCCUUGAGAGCAUCAAGGCAAUCAACAUAAAUUGUGGCAGCUGGAGAUGAGGGCCAAGAAUCACCUGUCAUUUCUUGAACCACCUCCAAACUAUCCGAGUGGAUCACAAGAUUUGAGCAGCAUAAACUCGCAGCAAGUUGUAUCCCACGCCAUAAUGCCAUUGCUUCAGCCAUGGUAGCAUCGUAGACAAUUGGAAUCACACCAUUUGUCGCACCAAAGAAAGCACCUGAACCAUCUCGGAUCACCGCACCUGUAGCGCCCACAUCCAGAUCAUCGAAGUAGGACGCAUCAACGUUCAAAUUUUGCAUACCUUCGGUUGGUUUUGCCAACCAUGACGCCGAAUCCAAGUAUGCUGAGAAUUGGCCCGAACAAAAUUCAUAGUCAAUGCUUGAAUUGAUAGCGCCGAUCUUGGAGGAGACUGGAUCGUGAUAGGGAAAAGGUGCCCGAUCUUUCGAUCAGAAGGUAGCUAUCGAUUAUGGUGGAGAUCGAGGUUGAUGAUCCGACUACAAACGUGCGAGACGUUGCGCCUUAGCGAUUGCUACACCAACUUCCGAGGUUAUUGACCACGUCGGAGCUAGAUCAACCUGAUCACGAAGGAUCAAUUCCUGCAAGCAACCGAAGAACUGGCAAGAAUUAUAGAUGCGAUCAAGAUAUUGUGAAUAUAGAUGAAUCUUUAUUGAUGGGAUUCUGCAAGCGCGUAGUACGGAAGGUCGAUUUGACACUUGUGUCUAUGGCAAAGAUUGGCAAUGGCUAAGUAUUAAACUAAACAAAAUCCGAGUCUAAAUGAUGACCUAAUUGGGGUAUAUAUAGAGGGCAUGCGGCCAGUCUUGGGAAAGGAGGACGAAAACCCUCUCUAGGUCGGUUUCCUUAACCUACACGGACUCUAAAAGUUCAGCCCCUUUAUGUGGACGAAUAUUACAUGGGCCUGGCCCAAACUUAAAGGUGAUGCAGCACCAUAUAAUCAUAUGGAUGAAAUCAUGAAGUAGAAAACUCUAUAUUUUGUCCACAUUUUGAUUUCUUAUUAUGGUGGUUUUAAAGUUCUGAAAUCUCCAGUGGUGGCGUCAUCUUCAACCCUCACACGCUUGCUGCCAUCCUCACCAUGCGUGAUCAUGCUCCGGUGCUUGUCCCUCUCAUGCAUGCUAGGUCCAUCAUUCCUAAGUGUAACAAACACAUUUGAUUUAGACAGCAUCAUAUUCUCAUGUAUGUGAGGAAUCGUUCCAAGAAAGAAAAGUACCUGAUAAUUAAGUUGUCAUGCACGAGCUCUUGAGAGGUCCUUCUGUUGUAGUUGUAGGUGCAGCGGUGGUAUCAACAUGUGGGAUGUCCUCAUCAAAUUGUUUCACCCUUCCUUAGUUGUCUGCAUUCCCACCAGAUGUACCAGGAAGCCACAGCAACCAGUUCUCCAAAGGAGAUAGGAGAGAUAUAAAUUUUGUUAGCUUCGUCACCAGCUAGGAGAUCCUCCAGGACCGAAGAACCAGCUCGGUCCAACAACAAACUUUGAUCAAUGAGAUGCGAAACUCCAAGGGCUGUCCAAACUGCAUGAGCUCUCACACAAGUAAAUAGCACAUGACGAAGGUCUUCCACCUCAGAUGGGCAUGUAGCACAUUGGGCGCUCACCGGCACAUGACUAUUUGCAAGAGUUGCCAUGCAAGGGACAGUGUUAUGUAAACUCUUCCAUCCAAAUAUUUUAACCUUUGCUGGAACUUUUAAUUUCCAAAGUUUCUUCCAAACCGGGUGUGUACGAGUUCUUCCAAUGCCGUUGGUCCUUCGUAAUUUCUCUCCAUGUUGAGAAUCCCAUUCAACAUGGUAAGCCGAACGAACCGAGAAUACAUGGUCCACUACACUGAGCAAUUGAGAAAAUGAUGCCAAUGAGAAUUGUAAAUUUUUGAGUGACCAUGAGCCAGUAGGCCCAUCUAUUGAAUUCGCCUCGAGGCCUCUGAAAGUUCUGGACCGGCGCUGAGUUGAUUUUGCCUUAGCAUCAUGCAUAGGAGUAAAUUACAAAAAACCACCACAUUAGGGCUAGGGUUUCACUUCGGUACGAGUCUACGUUUUCUUUUACUAAAAACCACCAGAUUUGCUUAACCGGUUAGUCGCUAGCUUCUAAGCGCGAAAUUGACAAGGAUGGCCCACUGUGAAGCCUACGUGUCUUGUCAGAACGGAUUGCCAGCAUCGGCAUUGACCGUGUUCUCGCCCCCGAAGGCGACCGCGAGCUCCUUGUCUGCCCAUGGGCAUCUCGCCACCGAAGAGGACGACGUCACCUCGCCCUGGCCGCGCACGCACAGACGCUCCCAAACGUCGUCGCGACCACUACGCUCGAAAAAGAAGCCUCGCCAGACCACCAUCGCCGCAGUUCCCCGUCUCUCGCGGACCUCUCCCUUCCCCUCCCACUGCUCGCGGCACGCCGCCCCCGCUGCGGCGCGCCGCCCCUGCUCACCACGUGCCGUCCCCGCUUCGCCGCGCCUGCUCACCACGUGCCGCUCGCUCCUGCUCGCCGCCGCUGCUCAAGCGCUCAUACUCAUUCGGGUUCGAGCGGAACAUCAUGGGCGCCAUGGACCAGGCCGCCGUCGCGGCCACGGCUUCCCCUCUCUGGCGCUACCGGCUGGGCGGAGGAGGCUUCAGGCGCGUCUUCUCGCGCUGCUUGCCCUCGCUGCGCCGCCGCUCGCCCCGUUGCGACACGCCACUGUUUGCCGUGCUGCUCUCCGGUGGCUCACGCCCACGCAAGAUGUUGCUGCGGAGUAUGGCGGCUCCGGGCUGCGGGCGCGGGUGGGAGCAACGGCAGCCCCUCAUGCGGGCCUCCAGAGCGGCGACGGCGUGUGCAUGCAGAGGCGAACGCGGCGGCUCGCAAUGGCCGGCGGAGCAGCGACCGCGGGCACGUGCGGAGGCGACGAUGACGGCUCAUGCAGGCCUCCAAAGCGACGGCGGCGUGUGAGACCGGGCUGGGAGAGACGACUCGGUCAAAGUCAAAUAGCGCAGCAGCUGAUGUGGCGCCAACUAGGACCUAAAAUGCAGGCCCACCUCGUCAGUUUCGGGAUUAGGUGCUAGCGACCGAUUAGUUAAGCAAAUCCGGUAGUUUUUAGUAAAAAGAACGUAGACCGGUACCAAAGUAAAACCCUAUCCCCUAAGGGUCCAUUCGGUUACUCCCAUACCUGUGGGGUUUGGGAGGGAUUGAUCCCAUUUUAGUUCAAGUUCCCUCAAAUCCCUCUCAAUCCUUGCAGGAAAUUUCAUAACCGAACAAGAAGGCUUAGUGUCGUGGUUUUUCGUAAUUUACUCUCAUGCAUGCAUAGUGAUACCAAAGGAGCAAAACGAUCCAUAAAAGUAGAGAACUCGGCCAUGCAUCGACAGAUGAAAUCAAACUUGGGCCACAUGAUCGGUGUCGGCUGCGGCGCCCAUCUGGAGGGGCAGAAGUUGAGCACGUACUCCUGCGCGUGGCAGCGGGCCGUGGUGGCGGCCGCGUCGUAGGCGUAGCUAUAGUAGUCCGGGCAGGCGUCCCUGAAGAGCCGCGAGUAGACGCUCCCCUUGCACGCCUCCGCCGUGCCGUACGCGCCCCGGCAGCAGAAGGAGUCCAGCCCGAACGCCAGGCACGCGCUCCUGCACGCCACCACCGUCGGCGCCUUGGCCUUUCCCGGCACCACCACCUGCAGCUCUGGCGGGCACACCGCGUUCACGUCCUUGGCGCACCCCGCGAUGAAGCACUUGCCGCUCCGGUUCGCCGGCCUGCUCCACACGGCCACGGGGAGGUUGUACCCGUCCACCACGCUCACGUCGUAGGAGCCCGUCCCGGCCUCCUCGUGCAAGCUCACCUCCAGGAGCGUGGCGGGAGGGGCGCCCACGGACCCGUUGCAGGCUAGGCGGCCUUCGCAGUCGCCCGUGAGGCAGCGGCUCCUGCUGGUGGUGGCGCCGUUGAAGUUGCUGCAGCCGGUGCGGCCCCAGAAGCGGCCGCUCCAGGAGGACGGCGCGUCGACGCGCUUCGAUUAGCCUGGCGGGAGGAAGAAGCCGCCACCCGCGAGAACCGGGUGGCCGGAGUUGGGCGCGUUCGCUGGCCACACUGGGAACGGGCAUUUGUUUGUCACGUGGAACGUGACGCCCCUUACCUGCACCACCGUUCCUGCAGAACGUAGAUUUUGUUAUCGGAGUAUCUAAAUUGCCUGAAUUUUAGUCAGAAUUCCUAUAUUAAAUUCACACUCUCUCUUCGUAUUCAUAAUUCAUUGCUGCCGUACUGCACAGCAGGCAGCUGGCACUUGUGUAGUGUCAGUGUAAAUCAUGUAGUUCCUCCGUCCAACAAAUGAUAUGUCAACUUUGAUUAAAUUUGAAUGCAUUUAUACUUGAGACAUCUUUUAUUGGACGGAAGGAAUACAAGCACUGACUCUGAUCUCUCACCUGGGAGAGCCUGCACCAGCAGGAGGAGGAUGCACGGGAGGAGCAGAAGAUUAGCCAUCUCUUUCUCUCGAUCGAUCUCGAUCUUAGACUAGGAGGACUGCCUGGAUUGGAUCAGAGGAGAGGCACCCGGGGGCUUUAUACUACUACAAAAUGCAGCGAAGAGAUGAGGAUUCAAUCCGCGAGGGCCAUGAGGUGCUUGUGUUUGUGUAACUUGCAUUGCAAUGGAAGUAAAGCUGAGGCAUGAUGAGGGCGGCGCUACCUGGUGCACCGUGCACCACACCUGCUGGGCCAAAAAGGUUACUCCGUAGCUUGUUCAAUUAUCUGUUUAUUAUCCGUUGUUGACGCACACGCUACGUAUAGUCCUCGUACCGUGCGUGCCAUGGAACCAGUAGAAAAAAUCUGAGGUUGAGGUUUACCCUUUAUCAUGCUUCAUCAUAUACAAAAAUAAAAGCAGAGAAUUCAUACAAACAUGGUAAGUACAUUCAUGGAAAUUUCUCAGUUGAUGAUCUGAGACACUCAUCUCACACGUCGAUAUUUGUAUAGUCUACCGUUUGGUUUUGUACCACUGUUUUGAAAUUUGAAUGUUCCGCUCAGCAAGAAAACAAGUAUGCCUUGUGUUGGGCUUUCUUGGUUUUAUGUAGAAAUUUCUUUUUAUGUAUGCCUAGGCCUUUUUAUUUUCGUGGGUUGGACUCUAUGCUGGUAUAUUUGUUUUUAUCACCCUUUUCACAGAUGUGCCUUGCAAUUAAAAACUGCUUGCACAUGCGAGGAAGCUAUCUAUGAAACCCUAGCGGUCAAGAAAAGACCUAGCCAUCCUCGUUGAAGUAAAUUUCAAUCUUCGGCGGUUCCCCUCGUCUUUGACUGCCGUUUCGGCGUUGAGAGACGGGGGGAACCACGGAUCAACGCCUGGCAUCAGUUUUGCAGUUUUUUGAUUAAGUUUGUGUGUUCUUCGCGGUGUCAUCUUGACGGUGGGGAUGACGUCGUCUAGAAGAUUUAUGUCCUAGCUCCGUUCUCGUCCCGGCGUAGGCGUCACGUCCUACUCUAUGGGGUCAGUGGUUCUCGCGAUUCUUCUUUUGGUGUUUUUGGUCUUUUUCCUUGUCAAUUCAUCAACGGAGAAGCAGUUUCACAACUUGCCUUGUAAGGGGUGUGUCCCCGGCUAUGGUGCGUUCAACGAUCUUAGGUUUCCAUUGUUUGAGGUGGGCGACUCAAGCGGCUUUUCAAAACAUAUAAGGUUAGUCCAGCUUGUGCAAGCAUGGUGUUUUGCAAUUUCGUUACCGGUUACAUGGAGAAACGUCAAGAUGCGGAAGAUGGAUCUAGAGAUGUUGAUUUCGAAAGACCAUGAUGGAUCUUUUAGUUCUAUAGUGGAUUUUCGUUUCUUAUGUUCGUUUAGCUUGUUUCGAUCUAUUGUACUUUCUUCUAUGAAUCAAUAAAGCCAGAUGGUUGUUCUAAGAAAAAAAAAGACUGCUUGCACAUUUUUGACACAUAAUGACUUAAACAAGGCAUGCCCAUAAAUAGCUAUGCUCCAAUAAUUAUCAUGGUGUACUUGUUGUUCAUGGGAGAUUCAGCUGGACUUAAAUUUGAUUUUUCAAUUGAGAGGAGUGAGGUUAGAACAUUUUCUUUUGUGGAUCUUACUAGAAAUAUAGUUUUAAGCAGUUUUGGUUUGUGUAUAUUUUGAAAAUCAUAUACAUAAUCCUCGUUGCACAUUAUGACAUCUAAAUUGCACAGAAAAACAUUUAUGCAACUUUCUGUCUCAAAAUGUGCAACAAGGUUGUUACACAUUAUCAAGCCUCAACAUGCACAUAAUAAUUUUGUGCAACUUUUGGGUUUAGAAUGUCUAAAUGUGGCUUGUUACACACUAUGAAGUCUCCACUUUCACAUAAAUUUGUUGUGCAAUUCUAAGUUUAAAAAUGUGCAACCUGUACUUUAAGAAGGCAAAAAUCGUAUAUAAUUUUUGUUUACAACUUUUAGAUUUAGAAAUAUGCAAUUGGUAAGUUGCACUUUCCGACACUACCAAUUGUACAUAAAAACAAUUUUGUGCAACCUUUUCUUUCAGAAAUGUGCAAUUGUUUUUUGUAGUUCAAUAUUCGUUUUUUUAAUGGGGGAACUAGUUUUAAGCUUAAACUACUUGCACAUUCUAAAACAGCCAGGUUGCACAUUUUUUGUGUGUGCAAUAUGAGUUGAGCAAAUGUGCAACAAUUUGCUAGAAUAUUUCUCCCAAUUUUGUUCAUAUAUAGAAUUAAUAAAAGUAAUUAAACAUCUUGACCACAUUACAGGCCUCUAGUCGAUUUAGUGUUUUUCUCUCGUACUAUUAUUUAUCCAUGAGUUUCAUAAAAACUUUAAAAUAGUGAGCUUCUUUGGGAAGCGGAAGGGUGGGACACGGCUCCCAGUGCGCAUCGAAUCCGGAACAUCAAUCGCGAGAUGGUCGGCGGCCUUUUUUGCGGAAGGAAACUGCGGGAAAAGGCCUACCUAGAUGUAUUCGGGAGCUCUCGGCCCAUGUUUCGGUACGAAACAGUGCUGUAUACUAGACCAAGCACUUAGAUUAUAAGGACCGAGCUUGACAGCCCAUCUUGUCCCUUGGCUGAGAGAACGUGUUGUUCCAAAAUGGGUGGAAGUGCGGCAAAUGGUCCAACUCGUCGUUGCCUGGCCCAUAUUGUGCCGUUUGGAUUAUGUCCCAAGGAAAACAUCGACAGCCCAUCUUUUGCCUUGGCUGAUAGAACGUGUUGUUCCAAAAUGUGUGGAAGUGCGGGAAUGGUCCAACUCGUCGUUGCCUGGCCCAUAUUGUGCCGUCUGGAUUAUGGCCCAAGAAAAACUUCGACCCUGUGUGGGGUGGGUGGGAGGAUGGCAAUCACAUUUAAUUAUACCUGCGACCACUGCUGCUGCUACGAUGCAUAACCAUCAGCUCUUUUCAGACGACCCAAUUCAACGCUGCAGGCAACGAUUCUUAUUUCUUGUGUAGAUUCAUUCCGUUCCACCAUACCCACAAAUCAUCAACCCCCGCGACCGCCCACACACACCCCACGCCCAUUCAUCGUGUGGCCGAUUUAGGGUUCGUCCGAGCUACCAGCCGGCGGCGAUGAACAAUCUUCCCCCUGUUGCACGAGCAGGGAUAGCCAUGGGAGUUCGGGUGAAUACGAUGUAAGUUCAACCACGCCCCCCCCCCCUCCCCACCCGUUUAUGUCCGAUUGAUGCUGAGUUAUUAACACAUCUCGACCCCCUAUUCUGGAAGCUGCUAAUUUAUUUUACCAUAUGCUGUUAGCGACGGUAUGUCUUCAAAUGUAGGUGAAGAAACCGGGCCGGUUGAGAUAGACAUAAACAAGCCGCCUGUGAAUUCAGAAGACGCUAUGCCAGAUUCAGUCGCGGGAGCUCCUGACUCCAGAACACACCCUCAGGACAUCUGUAAAAUUUUCCCCUCAGACGGAUGGGCUAGGAGGUAUUAUAUUAUGUCCUUUAAACUAAUUCGUGUAUUGUCUCGUGUCCGGAUGCCUCCUAUGCAAUGAUAAUUUAUCGUUUUCGGUAUAGAUAAUGUAAGAAAUUCGGUUCAUACCAGUGUUGUGUCACUACCUCCGUGUGGUUUACAACGUGUGAAUAAUCGUGCAGGGUCCGGAUCGGCAAUGCGCCAGAUGAAAGGAGGCCAAAUUGUAACAUCCCAAAUUUACAAAACCCUUUCAUAUGCAUUUCAUUCAUGAGCAUCAUGCCACAAUUGCAUAUUUGAAUCAAAUUUGAAUUCCAAAAGUUUUUAAAAAGGUUUUAUUUCAUUUUAAACCCUAGGGUUUCAUCCAUUUGAGCUUUGGAUCUUUAAACCAAUAGGGUUUGACUAUAAAAGGGGUUUAUUGCAUAAAUAAGCUAUCCCAUAAUUUUUAGAUAUUUAUUGGAGUUGAAAAACUAUUUUAUUUAAAUAGUUAUAUAGCCCUAAAGGCAUUUAUAGGGCAAAUGUAUUUUUAUAUAUUUUAUUUGAAAGGGAAACUAGUCCCAAAAGUUGAAUCAUAUUAUAAUAUGAUUUUACAAAUUUUCUGGAAUUUAUUUGGAUCAAUUUGGAAUUCAAAAUCAAAAGUUACAAAGGUUAAACAGAAAAAGAAUAAGGAAAAAGGAAAAGAAAAAAAAAGGGAAACGGACCGACCCAACUGGGCCGGCCCCCUUACCUGCCACGCGCUGCAGCCCAGCAGCAGCCCGCAGCGUGCGCGUGCCGCCGCAAGCCACUAACAGGCAAGGCCCGCCUGUCAGGGUCUUCUUCCCCGCAGGGAAAGCGCCCGCGAAUCUUGCCGCGCGCCGUCGCCGCCGCCAUCACUGUGCGCCGUCUCCUCCGUGCUCCCCGCAGCCUGCCGCCCGCGUCAUUAUAAAGCCUGACGCCCUCUCUCUCAUUUCCUCCUUUCCUCUUCGUCGAUUACGCGCCCACGCUGCCAAGAUUUGUCGCCGGAGCAAGCCCGCCGCCGCCGUCAUUUCUUGGUCACCGUCGACGAACGGGUACGGCAUCAUCCUCCCCUCCUCCUCUCUUUCAUCCGCCUCGUCGUCGCGCUUCUCCUGACCGAAGCUCCGCCGCCGCCGCCGCGUCUCCGCCGUCCUGGGCGUCAACCCCAGGCACCCCGAAGCGAGCCACCGCCACCAGCGUCUCCGUCUCGUCACGCCGCUUCUCCUCCACGCUUUCCCGAGCCCCCAGCCUCACCGGAAAAGCCCGCCGCCACGUCCCCACGUCACCGGAGUCCGCCGGAACCCUAGCGCCGCCACGGUGAGCCCAUGCUCUAUCUCGGCCGUUAGAUCUUGAUCAACGGUCCAGAUUAGAUCACUUAAAAUCGAAGGGGUACGGUUAGAUCUAGCCGUCCUUGUGUUUUAAGUUAGAUCCAACGGUCGCGAUUUAAUUUAAAUCCUGAACCGGUAUCCUCCAAUAGGAUCACGCCACGUGUCCCUGUUAAAAAUGAAAACAUAAAACCCGGUCUAAAUUAAAUGGCAUAUUUGCAGAAAAGCCCCUAGAACUUCAAAUGCUCAUAACUUUUAAACCCUUUGGCCAAAUUUGACAAAUUUUACCUUUCUGAAAAGAUCUUGACAUGUAGAAUCUUUUGGCAUAGUUUAAAUUUAAAUUUGAAUAACUUAACCACAGUCAAAUUACAGAAAGGCUUUUAAUGCCAUUUAAAUCAUAUCUUUCUAUUUAGAAAUCCUUUUUAAUUGAAACCAGUGCCCAAAAAAUUUGUUUUAUUGUCCUUUGUCCAUUGGGACAGAGAAAUAAAAAAUUUUGAAUUAAAUUAAUUGGCUGAUGCCAAUAAAACCUUGUUUUAGGGUUUUAAUCCCUUGAUUUUGUAUCUGGAUUUAACCUAGCAUAAUUAUUUUAAUUGCUAAUGCUUUGGACCAAAAAUAUAAUCUGGUUUAUUUCAAAAUAAAAUCAACCCAAUCAUGUCACAUGAUAUGCAUUGCAUGAUGGCAUAUAUUUCUGUUUGCUUGUAUUGUAUGUUUAUGUAUGCAUUGUUUGUUUCGUUUAGUUUUGUCAGACAGCGAACCUUGUGACUGACUGUGAAGAGUGCUUGAAUUCCAACUGCUAUCAAGGCAAGUUCACUUUGACCAUUAUCCCAUUAUUUUAUUAUGCACUAGUAUUUAUUAGUUGCAUUGUUAGGAUUAUUAUUGUACCUAUGCUAGCGAUGAUUCUCCUAGUAGUAUAGGAUACCCUUGCCAUGUCCUUACCACCAAUUGCCAUCGUAGGUAGUUCAAUGCUAUGCUAUGAUAGUAUACGAGGGUGGUAUUAUUACAAUGUGACGUUAUUGAAUUAAAGUAUGGUUUUCCUAGUGUAUGGCAAAACAAGUAAUUUAAUGAACCAUCCUGGGUGGACUGCUUUGAGUAUUCGAGAUGUUAUGCGACGUCAGGUCCAUUUCUAUGGGUCCCUCUGAGUCGAGUCCCGUGGAUUCGGGGAUGGAUCGUCCAUGGACGUCUCCUCAUGGAUUCGGAGAGCGCCUGCGUCGCAAAUGUGGAAUGCCACCCGGGGUAACCAGAGACUGGACUAGUUUCCUGUUUAGUAGCUUCCAAUACAACCACAUGCUAAUAUGGAAUCUGGAUGGAUGGAGUAAGAAAUAUGAACCCAGAUCCGAGGGAUUGUACUGAGGUAGUUGUGUAGGUGAGAGCGCGGGUCCCUCAGAUGGUCUGGGGGAUUAUGUUCUGAAAAUUCUUGAAGUCGAUGUCGUUGCUACUCUACCCUGAGGACAGCAAGGGAUUAACACGUCAAAUUCUUGUGGGAAAUGUGUACAACCUCUCGAGAGUGUCAAACUAAGUACUUAGCCGUGUCCCCGGUUACGGACAUUUUUGAGCAACUAGAUUUGGGGUUGUAAGGAAGGUCUCACUCAUUCCAAUUUCUUAGUAAAAUGAAUGGUUUGAACUGGGUAGGAGCAUUGAUGUGUCUACUUAAUGUGCUCUAGGUUAAUAGGAGCAUGUGUGUGUCUACCCCGUGUCCAAUAGAGAUAAAAUUAUUUGGUUAAAAAUGAUAGUAUGAAACAGUGAUGCUUUUAUGCAAAUAGCCGAACACCACCUAGCCAAAUAUGCAUGUACAUUGUUAGGUCUGUUAUAACUUCCAGGUCAACUUGCCAAUACAUUCAAUGUAUUGACCACGUAGUGGCUGUAAUUAAUAAUGCAGGUGAAUCUGACGAAGAGUGAGGUUUGUCGAUGUUCUUUGGGUCAUGUGGUUACAUUCCAACAUGCUCUCUCCUUUGGGAGUAGCUGUGGCCCAUUUGCUCCACCUUUUUCCGCUGCCGUUUGUGAAACAAUAUUUUGUUAUCUUGAAACUCUAUUUGUUAUGCUGACCCAAGGGGUUAUGCAAGUUUGUAAGUACAAUUAAGUUCUAGAUGAUGCGAUGUAAUAAAGUAUUUUGACCUUUGUAUCUUGGUAUUACAUCUUGAAAUUGUGUGUGCUGGUGAGUCAAUCCAGGGACUAGCACAUUAAGCAUAGAGAUCGAACCCUGUACAAGGGCGGUCGCUUCACAAAUCCACAUAGGGCUUGUGCAGUUGAGGUGGCUGUCCGCUCUUUUGCGGAGGAUAAACGAGGAGAGGUCAUGUAUCCGGCUAUUAGUACACAAUUCGAUUCGCUUGAUGAGGCGUACAACUACUACAACCUGUAUUCUUGGGAAGUUGGAUUUGGUGUAAGAUAUUCAAAGUGUAGGUUGAAUGUGCACAGGAGGAAGUGUAUGCAAGAGAUAGUGUGUGGCUGUGCGGUAUGUUCACUCAUUCCCGUGGUCUUACAUAAAGAUGAAAUAUAUAUGUUAGCAUUUGUGCCGAAUAUCUGACCAAAUCAAUAUCUAAUAUUUGUUAUGAUAACGUGUUUUCAUGCACAGGGUAAGCCCAUAAGAGAAAACAGUAGGUCAACCAGAUGUGGCUGCCUUGCAAUCAUAAGGCUGCUUAGAUCUAGCAACAACGGAUGGUACAUAUGCGAGCACAGGGACGUACAUAACCAUCCAUUAUCAACCACGUGCGGCGAGAAGCUACACUGGCAGUCUCACAGGCACAUUGAUAAGUAUACAAAGGAGUUAGUGUGGCAUCUAAGAGAGAAUAACGUGAUCCUAGGCAAGGUUUACAGUAUAUUGGGAGUUUCUUCGGGACAAUGGAGAACGUGCCUUUCACGAAGAGGUCCUUGAAAACAUUGUGUGGCAAGAUAAGCAAAGAACAAUCCGACUAGGAUGCAGUAAAAACAAUGCAGGCUUUCAGCGCAAUACAGGACUCCGAUCGUGAUUUCAAGUAUGUUGUUCAGAUAGCUUCAAAUGUUGACAGCGCAAUCCGACUAUGUUGUUCAGCAUCAUUCUAGGGGGUGUCCUGAUGAGGGAUGAAAAGGUUGACAGCUUCAAAUGGGUGUUCUCUGAAUUCAUAAAGAUGAUUGGGGGGAAUGAUAGCCACCCAAGAACUAUACUCACAGGUAUAUUUUUUAUCAAUUUAUACGUUUGUGUCGCGUUCGUGUAGUCAUUUAAAGAUUAUUAAAAUAUUUUCUGCGCAACUGUAAUUGUAACAUACUGCUGAUAGUUAAUAGUAGUGUCGUUCAAUGUUUCAGAUCAAGCCAGGGCCAUGGAGGUCGCAAUAAGCGAGGUGUUGCCAAACACUACCCACCGAUGGUGCAAAUGGCACGUGCUCAAGAAAGCUAAGGAAUGUCUUGGUGCCCUGUAUGGAAAGAAUUCUGCCUUCCGUUCCGAGUUCCACCUUUUGAUGUCCGAGCUAUGUACGGAGGAAGAAUUCGAGAAUGGAUGGGCUAGCAUGUUAGAGAAAUAUGGCUUGCAAAAACAGCCAUUCCUGACACAGAUAUACGAGGUAAGGCAUAAAUGGGCAAAGCCAUAUUUCAGAGAUGUAUUUUGUGCUGGCAUGACGAGCACCCAACGUAGUGAGAGUGCAAACCAUGUCCUAAAGGGGCCGGAUGCCCUAUGCACCUGUUUGUGAAACAAUACCAAAAACUACAGUUCGACCGGGAUCAGGAGGAGAGCUAUCAAGAGAAGCGAACUCGAAUUGUGAGUACCCACCAAUAAAUAUAAACAUAAAAAGGUUUUUCUUAUUUUGGUAUGUCACGUGUGCUGACGUGAUCUGAAUCUCUUGUUCCAUGCAGUUUGGCGUAGUACUCCGAGCAAACUUACCUAUCGAGGUGCAUGCCAGCAAAGUGUACACGAGGAAGAUGUUUGAGCAGUUUGGAAAAAAAUUAUACGAGUCGGGCCAAUAUAACGUCGAGGAGCUGGAGCAUCACAGACUGUAUCUGGCCAGGCAUGACAACGCCGCUGUAAAAGAAAGAUGGUGCAAGGUUACGUUUGCGGUUUCGGUUGACAUUGAGAGUGACAGAGCAGAGUGUGAAUGUGGUUAUUUUGCACAUUCCGGAAUGCUAUGUGCCCACUCGUUGAAGGUAAUACGUAGUAUUCAUGUAUACCCAACGAUAAAACACUGACGGCAAUUAGAAGGCUGAUGCAUCUGAAAAUUCACAGGUGCUAAUUCAUCUGGGAUACAAGGCUAUACCGUCAAGGUACAUCUUGAAGAGGUGGACAAGGGAAGCGCGAGAUAUACUGCCACAACAUCUCAUCAGGUACCAAAAAGAUCAGGGCUUGCCUUCAUGUACACUCAAGCCUCCAGCUCAUUUGUUUCGAGAUACAAAAAAUGGGCGAUGCAAAUGUAGAAUGCUACGUUGAGGCCAUGCAAGUCCUACUCAAGUUGAAGAACAUGUUGGAGCCGAUGAGUGCGGUUAAGGACGGAUUGGGAGUGUCAGAACGGGAUAGUUCGGAAGGCUCGUUCCGUAACGGUCGCGCUGCAGCUGUUGAAGAGACACCCGUCCAAACCCCAGCUGGAUGCAUCUGUGGUGGAGCGGUUCGUCGAGGUGUGUGAGCCAAGCAAGAAGUCAUCGGUCAGGAGACCCACAUCAAAAAGAGACAGGCCACCAUACGAAAAUUGUUCAAAGAGGACGAGGUUUUGCUCGAUAUGCAGGAAGCCUGGUCACAAAAAUGUGACCUGCCCGGAGCGUGGAGACAAUCCAAAGAAACCAAGGAAGGAGCCGACGUGUUCAAACUGCGGCGUUCUUGGCCACCGGAAGUCUAACCGUGGAAACCCGAAGAUACUAAUGAUGUGAAUGCUGUUAUCAACCACAUCUGGAGACACAUAACUUGAUUUAAAUUGCGCAUCUGAUUUAUUUGGUGAUGUGGGUUAGUUUUGACACGUGGACUUAUUGAAUGAUUUAUUCGUGUGUGGACAAUAAAAUUUACCCGUUUAAUCCUGAAAUUACCGAAAUUUGUUUUGCACUUUUGUUUAUAUUCAGCAAAAAAUAUUGUUAUGCUAGUGCUAGUAAAUUUCUCCUUCGACAGGUAAACAUGCAAAGUGAAAUUUUGUUAAACAUAGAUUACGCUUCUCUGACACUGUCAAUCGGUGGACGAGUACCGUAGUACCAUGGUUUCGGAUGCUCCGUGCGUUCUACGCGGGCUGGGUGCUUAAGAUUGACGCCCAAUCAAAAAAAAAGGGUAUACUUUGACGGCCCAACGUGAGCUGUUCCCCGUUAAACUACACCAUAGAACUAUGGGCCCAAAGGGGGUCCGAUGUGCUUAUGAUCCUCUGGGCUUGCCCACACCGAGCUUACAUAUCCACUGGGCCUACUAGUAUCCCCUGCAUCGCCGGUGUUCACUGUAUUGAAACAUCACGAUGAAACCGGUAUUCUGUGUACCAGUACGAAUGCUCGUGCGUCCGUCGAUAUUCACAGGGUUCAGGAGGAAGCUGUGGAUUAAACGCAUCCCCCGGUAUCAACACAAAACAUUUAUUUUAGAAUCCGGUUUGUUUGUUUGCAUUAAGGUCAAAAAUCUUGCAUGAAAACUUUAUAACUUAUUUAGUAUAUAAUAAAUGCUAACAUGCAACAUGCUUACGGUUUGAUCGGGUUUUUUUUUAAGUUUUUACCUUGUCGUUCGCGGAGGUGUGCGCGCGUCUCGUGUCCAACAUUAAUUUGGUGGCUGCCAGACUUACGCAAUGCGGUCCAUUAGUACAUUGUUGAAGCGCUUAUUACCAUUGCCACCUGUUAAUGCCAGCACACGGCAUGGUUUCGUCGUGAUUAAUGUUGGAUACGUGUGGUUCUCCAUCUGCCACUACUGUGUUGUCAGGCUAAGAAGCUAAGAGUUAGAAUUAUAUAUUUCAAGUACGGCGUCUAUCCUGUGCAUGCCUUUAUGAAUGUCCUCUCGCCAUUGCCCCAUGUACUGCUGCCCCUGUAGCACGUCUGAUGCGUCUUGUCUAACUCGAGUGUGCUAUCGGGUAGUAGCUCCUAUACAGGGAUCGUAGGUGAGACAGUGAUGUUCCGUGCAGCGAUGCAGUGUCCGCCAGAGAGCACGCGUGGUAGGAUCUUGGUGUAAAUCUCCGACGCAUCUGCUAGAUCGCUGACUUGCUUCUCACGCGAUUUGGUGCCGCAACCAAUCACGCUUAUGAACGAAAAAUAAAAAUUGUUUCUCUACAUGUUAGUACACAUAUAUGUGUAUACCGUGCAUCUGCCGUUCUGUGUGACAUGCUUAUGUACUGCAUCUGGGUUGAAUAGAUGCUUAAUAUACAUGGUACUAGGUGCAACGAAAACGCUGCCUUGUUAAGCAAAAAAGUUAAAACCGAUUGGAUUGGAUACCUAUUGAGCCUAUUGAGUGUUCUCUCAACACAUGGCUUGUGAAAUGAUCUUGGUUUGUCCUUGGCGGAUAGCUAGUUUCAUAGCAUGAGCUGCUCCAUCCCCGUUGCAUGCUUGCCGCCCAUGCCUCCUCGAUGGGGUUGGAAGGUACGCUCGGUAUUCAAUUUCCCUGCGCCCCAAAAAAUAGUACGACUAGACUGGCAGCUUUGCAUUGUGUCUUUCGUGCGUGUGCAUUAGCACCCUCUGUACCCCCGUAAUAUCUCAAAUUUUCAAACUUUUACAUAUGCAUUGCAUCCAUGAGCAUCAUGCCACAAUUGCAUAUUUAAAUUCAAAUUUUGAAUCUCAAAAGGUUUUUAAAAAAACUCUAUUUUAAUUUAAACCAUACGGUUUGCACCAUUUUGAACUUUGGAUCUUCAAACCAAUAGGGUUUAAUUAUAAAAGGGGUUUAUUGCAUAUAAAAGCUAUCUCAUAAUUUUUUGGAUAAUUAUUUGGAGUUGAAAAAGUAUUUUAUUCAAAUAGUUAUAUAGCCCUAAAGACAUUUAUAGGGCGAAUGUAUUUUUAUAUAUUUUAUUUUGAGGGGAAAUCACUCCCGAAAGUUGUAUCAUGAUAGAACAUGAUUUUACAAAUUUUCUGAAAUUUAUUUGGGCCAAUUUGGAGUUCAAAAUCAAAAGAUAUCAAAGAAAUAAGAAAAAGAGAAAAAGAAAAGGCUUAAAGAAAAAAAAAGGGAGAAAGAGAACCGAACCGACCCAACUAGGCCGGCCCCGUCUCGCGCGCGCCC